rnacentral:lncRNA from 1 species
GCCUAAAGGUUCAUUUUAGAAACUUAGUUUGAAUGGAAUUUAAGGUGAAGGGGUUAUACGUGUAAAGUGACCAAACAUCAGGGACUAUUUAUGCCUAUCUACGAAAUUAUGCAUCUGGUCCCUCCUGUUAUCGACAAGGUGUGAAGGAGGGAGCUGCCUUGGUUGUUGCUCCUGCAUCGAAUCAGUAUAAGAACAAAACCCUAGCAUAUUUGGGAGUAUGUGGGUGCAUUUAUCACAGUUGGAAUGAGUGGAACGAAAGAAGCCUUAGAAAGAUGAUGUAUCGAGAGGAAAGAAGUAACAUGGUGAGUUUGAUGGGAUUUUUUGCUAAGAAAUCAAGCUCUAAGCUGCACAACUUCAGUAGAUCGCUUGGAGGUUUCUUGUUAAUGGUUAAGAAGAUCGGAGAAGCAGCAAGAGGGGUUGAGCGAUGAGCUCAACCCCGAUGAAGGUGUAGACAUCAGAGGGUCAUCGAGUUCAUCUAGAACCAUCUGUCGACUUGAUGAAGAUGAUUGGGAUAGGAGAGCAUGUCGGCGCAGGAGUGCGAGAAGCUGUUGAGGAUGAAGCAAGAACUCUUGCAACUCCGACAAUGUGCUAGAAGGGAAGAACUUGCGGGGUUAUGGUCGCCAGAGUGAUGUCGACCAGAUUGCUUGGAGUUGCUGAAAAGAUGAAUAAGGUAAGGGUUUUCCAUUCUAUUUCCAUGACCUAUUUGGCUAUGCUUGGGUUGUGAGUUGGAUCAUAAGUGUAUUUGGGCCUUUUGCCUAAUUGGAUUGUUCAAGAAAUGAACUUUAGAAAGCAAAUGCAUAAAAUUUACAUGGCCUAGCUAAUAUUUGGAGCCCAUGCAUUUAUAAUUUUAAUAUAUGGUGUAUUUAAUUCAAGAAAUUGUAGUAACCAUUCUUAUUAAAUAAGAUUCUUAGGAUUAUAUAAUUGACUGAGUGUGAUCGAUGAAUUGGGAUUUGCAGAUCAUUACCUCGUUUAUUUAUAUAUGAAAAUAUAGCAACUCUUUUAUAAAAUAAGGAAAAUACCCAUUCGUUUAGUCCUAGAUAUAUAUAGUAGCAAAAGCAAUUAAUUACAAUUUGGGGUUUGAUUAUAUAACAAAUAUAUUAGGAUGUCAGGUGAGUUGAUCUAUUGAUACGAUUCCUAGUCAAAUUUUGAAGUCAUAUUUGCAAUUAUAGUUAUUAGACUUAUCCAAGUGGGAGACUGUUGGAUUAGGUGUUUAAGCCCAUAACUAUAAUUGGUAUGUACUUGAUUUGAUAGUAACAUGGUCCUUUUGGGUUGCCUUCACACUGACAACUAGACAGGAUGACUAUUAGAGAGAGAGGCUGAAUUUAUUAUUUCGAAUAAUAAAUUAGUGCAUAAAAAUAAUUUAUUAAUAUAUUAUAAGAAUAAUAUAUUAUUUAGAAAUCAUAUUAUUAAUUAGUAUUUAAUCAGAAAUUAAUUUGGAAUUAAUUUUGGGAUUAAAGGAACUGAUUAAAAGUGUAGGGGCUGUUUUGCAAUUAUUUGAUAGUUGUGGUUUUGGGCCAUUGGAUCACCCUUAUUAGGGAGGUCCAGAAAUCCAUAGAAGGUUUUAUAGACUUUCGUCCAAGCCCUAAGGAAGGGGUCCAUGGACUUGCUUAGCCCUUAAGCUAAGGGAUUAGGAUUUCCACCUCAAAACCCUAGCUAACCUCAACUAUAAAUAGAGCCCCUUGGCCUCUUGAAUUUGGGCACUCUAUUGAAACCCUAGAAGAGACGAAAUUUUGAGUAAAUGACUCCUUUUUUUCUCUCUCUCUCUCUCUCUCUCUCUCUCUCUCUCUCUCUCUUUCAUAUUCAUCCUCUUGCCCUACUGUGUUUGUGAGCCAUUAGAUGUACUACAAUUGUGGUACUUGUUCUAAAAACCAAGGAUCUUCAAGAAUUGGUUGUUAUUAGUAUAUAGCAACAAAGGUAUGUGAUCUAAUCUUUCAUAUGUAGAUUUCGAGUUAUUAGAUGCAUAUUAGAGUUUUGUAUUUUGUGUUCAAUGCUUGUAUGUCUAAAUGUCUAAUAGAGAAAACAUAGAUCCAAUCUAGGGUUGCAUGCACACAUAUGAUUGUUUGUAUAAAACCCAUUAGAAUGUUUCUUCAAGCAUCCUUGUUUGCUUUUUCAAAACUCUACACGCUACAUAAUUUUGUGAAUAUCCCUUGAAAAUUCCCUCAUUAGCUUUCGACUAAAAUUUGGAACGAUUAUCCUUGAGAUUUAUGAUGAAACAUCUGCAUCAAAAAACAUGGAAGAAUUUGACAUUAGGUUUCCUUUUGUUUAUAGUUUCAUAAGGUGUUAUGUUAAAAUGACGAUGAAUGAAUGAAUGAUUUUACGUGAAGCAAGCAGUCGAAACUGCCUCUGCCCAAAAGUAUUGUGGCAAGUUUGCAUAAGUGAGCAUCGUUCUCGCCACUUCACAUAAGGAAGGAUUCCUCCUUUUAACAACACCAUUUUGAUGCGCUAUGUAUAGGGACGGAAAAUUAUGAGAUAUGCCCAAUUCAGUCAAAAAAGAAUCUAAAAUUCAAUUUUUGAACUCCGUUCCAUUAUCACUUUUUAUCUUUCGAGCUUUCCAUCUUAGGCUCAAUUCAAUGUUCGUUAUAAAUUCAAUCAUCACCUGAGCAGUUCCAAACUUCUUUCGAAGAAAGAAAACCCAAGUAAACCUUGAAAAAUCAUCAAAAAUAACUAGUAUGUACUUCUUCUUAUUGAGAGACUCAAUAGUCAAAGGUCCACACAAGUCAAUAUAAAGAAGUUCCAAAGGUUUAGUGAUUGUUGAAUCAAUUAUAAUCCGAUGACCUUGAAGAUACUGUUUUCCCUAUUCACAUGCAGCACACAACGAAUCAUUGUCAAAUUUCAAAAUAGGUAAACCACAAACAAGAUCAUUGAGAACAAGUUUAUUAACGUCGAUGCCAUAACCGGAUUGUAACAUCCAUAAAAUUUGAGCAAAAUUUAAACUUUUUAUAACAUUUCAAAACCAUUAAUUAUUACAAACUAUUUUCAAAAUAUCUCCAUGUCAAAGUAUCUUAGAAAUCAAAAUCAUAAAAUGUGAGGAGCUGUACGAUCACGCAUUCGCCUUCCCGCGAUCAUCUGAUGUACGUAAAACCAAAACUGAAACUGUAAGCCCGAAGCUUAGUGAGUUCCCCCAAAAUACCCAUACACACAACAAUAUACAUAUAAUCACAAACAACAUACUAUGGGUCCAGUCAACCAUCUGGUUGGAAUACCCUAGUCCCUCAAGCAUCAGGUUGGAAUGCCAACAUACUAUAGGUCCAGUCAUCCUCAGGAUGGAAUACUCCAGGCCCACAACCAUCGGGUUGAAUGCCUACAUACUACGAGUCCAAUCAUCCUCGGGAUGGAAUAUUCAUGGCCCACAACCAUCGGGUUGGAAUGCCUAGGUCUGUUGGCUCUCGCACAAAGCAGAUAAGCCUCAACCACCAAUCAAACAUGUGCAUAUAUAACAGAUAAUCACAUAACAGUCUAUAGACAGACAAACCGAUCUAACGGAUCAUAACAACAUAAUAACAUCCUAUCUACAAGGAUACUGAUCUAAUAGAUCAUAAUAUGUAAUCCCAUCCUAUCUACCAGGAUACUGAUCUAACAUAUCAUACUAACAUAAAUAUCAGGAUAACAAUCCAAAAGGGCCGACCUUGGUGCCUUAGACCCUUGAUUAUAGUGAGGAAAACUCACCUCACAAGUAGCUCGAAGUGAUAAAGUCAAACUCCACCAAAUGCAACUCCAAGUCCAACACCUACUUCCGCCAAUGGUUCACUUCCAUAAAUUCCUAAUUACCAAAAUACCCCCAGAAGUCAAACUGGUCAACCCUUGGUCAAAGUCAAAGUCAACGGUCAAAGUCAACAAUCCAUGUUGACCCGACUCGUCGAGUGUAGCUAGCAACUCGUUGAGUUCCUUAAGAACUCAGAAGUCACCCAAAACCCUAAUUGACUCACCGAGUUUCCAACCAACUUGUCGAGUAUACCUUUACUAAAGGUACCUCCUUGUUUUGUAGAGCCUUCUUCUUCCUCUCUAGAAUGGCCAAUGGCCUCUCCACGUAAUUCAGGCGCUCAUCAACCUGUAUAUCGUCCAAUGAUACCACUGCCCCUCAUCUUCUAUGCACUUUCGCAACUAUGACACAUGGAAAGUGUUGUGGACUUGAAUAAGCUCCCCCGGAAGAUCUAGCCUGUCUACAACCUUGCCAACCCUGGCAACGAUCCUGAACGGUCUGAUGUAUCGGGGACCCAACUUCCCCCUCUUCCUGAAGCGAAUCACACCCUUCCAGGGUGAGACCUUCAGGAGUACCAUGUCACUGACCUGAAAUUCCAACUCAGAUCGGCGCCGGUCGAGAUAACUCUUCUGUCGACUAUGUGCGGUUUGCAACCGCUGUCUGAUCUGCUGAAUCAUCUUGGUAGUGUGCAGAACUACCUCGGUCCGACCUAUCACCCUGUGACCGAUCUUUCCCCAACAAACCGGGGUGCGACAUCUCUGUCCAUACAACAACUCAAAUGGUGGGACACCAAUACUGGAAUGAAAGCUGUUGUUGUAGGAGAUCUCUGUAAGGGGUAGGUAGGAGUCACAACUCCCACCAAAGUCAACGACACAGACUCUUAACAUAUCCUCAAGAGUCUGUAUAGUCCUCUUAUUCUUGCCGUCUGUCUAUGGAUGAUAGGCUGUACUGAAGUGCAGCCGCAUGCUAAGUUCCUCGUGGAACUUCUGCCUGAAACGGGAGGUAAACCGAACAUCGUGGUAUGAGACAAUAGAGACUGGAACCCCAUGGCAAGAAACGAUCUCGCGGACAUACAACUCUCUUGUAUCUCUUAAAAGUGGGCAUUCUUUGUUAAUCGAUCCAUGAUGACCCAAAUAGCAUCGUAGCCCUUCACCGUUCUCGGCAGCUUGGUGAUAAAAUCCAUCGUGAUCUAUUCCCACUUCCACAUGGGAACCUCUAGAGGCUGCAGCUUACCAUGCGGCCUCUGGUGCUUGACCUUGACCAUCCUGCAUGUCAGGCACCUCUCCACGUACCAAGCGAUUUCUUGCUUCAUGCACGGCUACUAGUAACUCAGUCGCAAAUCCCGGUACAUCUUGGUGGCCCCUGGGUGAAUAGAGAAGCGAGACUUAUGAGCCUCCUCUAAAAUAGUCUGUCUGACCCCACUAGACAUCAGGACCCAGACCCGACCGCAACGGGUCAAUAAUCCUCGGCUAUCCUGCAUAAACCGGGUAUUUUCACCCUUAAUCCUCUCAAGUUUCCAGUUCUCCUAACGCAUGCCCUCUGCCUGAGCUUCCCUGAUUAAGCUCACAAGUGAAGAAUCCACUGAUAUCCUCAUACAUGCCACUGGGGUAGAAGAUCCAGUUGACUUGCGGCUCAGAGUGUCCUCAACCACGUUCGCUUUACCCGGGUGGUAAAGGAUCUCACAGUCGUAGUCCUUGACAACAUCCAGCCACAUGCGUUGUCUCUUGUUUAGGUUCGGCUGAUCCAUUAUGUGUCUCAGGCUUUUGUGGUCUGUGUAUAUGGUACAACAAAUCCCAUAGAGGUAAUGUCUCCAAAUCUUGAGAGCGAAUACCACCGCUCCCAGCCCCAGAUCAUGAGUAGGGUAUCUCAUCUCAUGCGGCUUCAGCUGCCGCGAUGAGUAGGCUAUCACCCAUCCUCUCUACAUGAGGACCAUUCCCAGUUCCAUGAUGGAUGCAUCACAGAACACCAAAAAAUCCUCAACUCCCUCCGGAAGAGUCAAGACCGGAGCCUCACAUAAUCGCUGUCGGAGGGUCUCAAACGCCCCCUGCUGCUCGGGGCCCCACCAGAAAUCCACCCCCUUCCUCGUCAGACGAGUGAGGGGUACUGCAAUCUUGGAGAAAUCCUAUAUGAAUCUCCGGUAGUACCCUUCCAAUCCCAAAAAGCUCCUCAUAUCCGAGGGAGACUUCGGAACCUCCCACUGCAUAACUGCCUCGAUUUUGGAUGGAUCGACCAAAAUCCCCUCCUGGUUAAUGAGGCACCCAAGGAAUUGAACCUCUUAUAACCUAAACUCUCACUUUGAGAACUUGGCAUAGAGCCGCUCUUGCCUCAAAACUCCUAAUAGCUCUCGAAGAUGCUCUUCAUGCUGUUAUCGGGUCUUGGAGUACACCAAGAUAUCGUCUAUGAACACAAUGACCGAGUGAUCGAGCAUCGGCAUGCAGACCCGAUUCAUCAGGUCCAUAAAUACCGCCAGCGCUUUGGUGAGCCCAAAUGACAUCGCCACGAACUCGUAAUGUCUAUAACGAGUUUGAAACGCGGACUUCUCCAUGUCCUCCUACCUAACCUUGACCAAGGUACCCAGACCUCAGGUCUGUCUUAGAGAACCAAGAUGCUCCCUGCAACUGAUCGAAAAGAUCAUCUAUCCUCGGAAGUGGAUAAAGGUUCUUCACCUUCAACUUGUUCAACUCCCGAUAGUCAAUGCACAUUCGGUGUGAACCAUCCUUCUUCCUAACGAAGAGGAUUGGCGCUCCCCACAGAGAACUGCUAGGAUGAAUGAACUGCUUGCCCAAUAGUUCCUACAGCUAUGAUGACAACUCCUAAAUCUCUGGUGGUGCCAAACGGUACAACGCCUUGCCGAUAGGGGCCGCUCCUAGCACUAGGUCGAUCAUAAACUUAACUUGCCUCUCUGGAGGCACUUCGGGUAACUCCUCUGGAAACACAUCAACAAAUUCCCUGACUACCGAAACCUCUGAAACUGAAAUCUAAUCCCCGACCCGCGUAUCCACCACAUACACUAAAUAACCCGCACACCUGUGCUGAAUGUACUGCCGAACCCUGGCGGCCGAACAAAACCCUGAUCCUAAUCUGGUGCCCUCACCAUAGACAAUCAGUUCUCCCCCACUUGGGGUUCGAACUACCACUUGCUGGCCCUCACAAUCGAUCAUGGCUUCGAAGCGACUAAGCUAGUCCAUACCCACAAUCGCACAUACAUCCCCCAUGGGAAUCAGAAUCAAAUCGAGCGGAAAAGAUACCCCGUAGAUCUCUAAAACGCAACCCCGAUAGAUUGAAGAAGCGGAAACCCCGUGUUUGUUGGCGAUAGAGACUCACAACAAACACUCUGUCUCUCCUACUGGCAAUCUGAAUUCCCUUUCGAAAGACUGAGAAACAAACGACCAACUCGCCCCGAGUCAAAUAAUACCAAAGCAGGCAAGGAGUUCACUAAACACGUACCUAAUCAUAGGUACAAACAUAUAAGCAUAAAACAGAUAAAAUCAGUAAGAUGAGGGAUAAAAACAUACCAGCAACCACAUAUGGUGUUGCCCUGGCUUCCUCUGCUAUAAGCUGGAAGGGGCGUCCUUAAGCCCUCGGGAUCAUUGCUCUACCCUGACUCCCGUCAGUAAUCCUCAGUGUAGCCGGCGCUGGAGCCUGCGCCGACUUGGCGGCUAGUAGGGAACAAUAGGCCUUUAGAUGGCCCACUUGCUCAUAAUGGUAACAAAGUUGGACUCCUGGAGCUGGAGUCUGCUGCCUGCAAUCCCUGGCAAGAUGGCCCUGCUUGCCACAUUUGUGGCACCCGCUCCCUGAUCGACAAACCCCUGAAUGAGCCUUCCCGUACUUCCUAUAAGUGCAGCCCGACUGUCCCCCAAACCUUGUAUUAGUGGUCUUGGAUCGCUUUAGCGCCGGCUACGACUGCGCCGGAGCCUGCCUCUGCUCCCGUAACUGUAACUCUAUCGCCAGCUCAUGCCGCCUAGCGGCCUCCUGUAACUCCAGCUGUGUAUCACAUCGUUGGGUAGCAACAAACUGACGGAUAUCAGUCUUGAGCAUACUCAUAGAACGUGUCAUCUGAGCCUACUCGGAAGCAAAAUCUAGGCAAAACAUUUCCCUCUUAGUGAACAUGUGGGUGAUCUCCGUCACCGACUCCGUACCCUGUCUCAGAUCCAAAAACUCCUGUGAUAGCUGCUUGCGCUCGACCCGUGGAAUGUAGCGAGCGCGGAACAUAUCUAUGAACUGCUCCCAAGUAACAGCAGCUCUUUGGUCAUGCGUAUACGACCCAAUCAUCAACCUCCACCCGUCCUUUACCCCAGACCUCAACAAGUUCAGGGCACAUCUGACCUUCUGGUCAGCGAGACAUGAGCACGCGAAGAAACAUCCCUCCACUUAAGACAUCCACCUCAUGGCUAUGAUAGGAUCCCGAGUCCCAUCGAACGUCGAGGGCUUCAUGUUAUCGAUGUCCCCGUACUAAAAACCCCGAUUGGUCCUCCCCCUGUCGCUGUUACAACCGCUGUAGCUGCUGCGACAACCUUCUCAGUUAGGGUUGCAUAUAUGUCAUCAAAAUACUCCAUCAUGGCGAUCUUAAUAGACCUAAACAUUUCUGGAAUUUGACCCCGGACAAUCUCGACCACCUCCUUGCGGAUGAUCUCCCUGACACGAUCCUCUGUCAACACUGGGCCACCCUAGCCGAUAGUCUCGGGCGCUGUAGGGGUAUCCUGAUUGCCCUGCCCUGAUCCUAAUCCGGAUCCAGUCACAAAACGCCUCGUAACCACCAUACUGAAAAAUACACCAGGAAAAUAUUAGAUAAUCCGCACAAAUAACAGGGAUCCAACUCCCAACUAAACCCUAUGGGUUGUAACUUCCUUGCCACAUGUAUGGGUCCUAUGCUUUCGGUAGUACGGGCCCAUACUACCUUCCACACCUACCCAUAUUUGUCUCAAGUAUCAUCAUAACACCCUAACAAUAUACAUAUGCAUGGUGAUCACUAAAUCCUCACUUCUAGAGGGAAGCUAACUAUCUCAUAACUCGUCUACUGACCUCACACAACUCAACAAUGAAACUUCCACCAACCCUGCAACACUCGUGUAUGCUAGCCAUACAUAACGUUGGACCCUAUAGACUUUCGAAUACCUGAUUGUACCCUAAGCCCUUCAUCAAACAAGAAUAGGAAAUAAGGCCAAAACAAACAUUCUCAAGAUAUAAGAUCUUAAUUAUGUACGACCGUGAUGCAUACACUAAGCAACUACAGUAAUGAUGUCAAUUUCAUAUAAGGAAAACCCUAGGCUAUCAGACAUCAUACAAUCAGGCAAUUCUAUCAUGUAAUUCCUGAAGAUCCCUAGCCUAGUACUAACAUUUUGUUCUAACAUAUCACAAAAUCAAUAACUACAUGGUAUUUUGGGGUCUACUUACUGGCUCCGACUGAUUGUACACUCUGCAUCCUCUUUUAAUUAUUUUGAAAACCUUUUGAAAACCGUUUUAUAAAAUCAUUCCUUAGUUUUAGAGUGGAUUCACACGAGUGUUGCCCCAAUUCACUCAAACUAAGGCCUUGAUACCAACUUGUAACAACCAUAAAAUUUAGCCAAAUUUAAACUUUUUAAAACAUUUCAAAACCAUUAAUUCUUACAAAGUGUUUUCAAAAUAUUUCUAUGUCAGAGAAUCCCAGAAAUCAAAAUCAUAAAAUAUGAGGAGAAGUACGAUCAUGCCUUCGCCUUCUUGCGAUCAUUUGAUGUACCUGAAACCAAAACUGAAACUGUAAGCCCAGAACGUAGAGAGUUUCCCCAAAAUACCCAUACACACAACAAUAUACAUAUAAUAACAAACAACAUACUAUGGGUCCAGUCAACCAUCGGGUUGGAAUACCCUAGUCCCUCAAGCAUCAGGUUGGAAUGCCAACAUACUAUAGGUCCAGUCAUCCUCGGGAUGGAAUACUCCAGGCCCACAACCAUCGUGUUGAAUGCCCAUAUAAUAUGAGUCCAAUCAUCCUCGGGAUGGAAUACUCAUGGCCCACAACCAUCGGGUUGGAAUGCCUAGGUCUGUUGGCUCUCGCACAAAGCAGAUAAGCCUCAACCACCAAUCAAACAUGUGUAUAUAUAACAGAAAAUCACAUAACAGUCUAUAGACAGACAAACCGAUCUAACGGAUCAUAACAACAUAAUAACAUCCUCUCUACAAGGAUACUGAUCUAAUAGAUCAUAAUACUUAAUACCAUCCUAUCUACCAGGAUACUGAUCUAACAUAUCAUACUAACAUAAAUAUCAGGAUAACAAUCCAAAAGGGCCGACCUUGGUGCCUUAGACCCUUGAUUAUAGUGAGGAAAACUCACCUCACAAGUAGCUCGAAGUGAUAAAGUUAAACUCCACCAAAUGCAACUCCAAGUCCAACACCUACAUCCACCAAUGGUUCACUUCUAUAAAUUCCUAAUUACCAAAUUACCCCCAGAAGUCAAACUGGUCAACCCUUGGUCAAAGUUAAAGUCAACAGUCCAUGUUGACCCGACUCGUCGAGUGCAGCUAGCAACCCGUCGAGUUCCUUAAGAACUCAGAAGUCACCUAAAACCCUAAUUGACUCGCCGAGUUUCCAACCAACUCGCCGAGUCCAUGCGUGUUCAGAUGUCAGGGAAAACCCUAACUGACUCGUCGAGUCCUCUUAGUGAGUCGCCGAGUUCAUGCAUAAUCAAAUAUGGUAAACCUUCGUCCGACUCGCCGAGUCGGCUAAGCAACUCGUCGAGUUCAUGCAGUCCAUCACUUAUACAGAUGUUUUUAAGCCACCCCAAAGCUCCAUAUUGCAUAUCCAACCUCCUAGGACAUGGUUUCCACGUAAAGUUGCAAACUUUACGUACAUGCAUGGUCCUAAAUGCCAAAACUAGACUAAGGGAAAGGUUAACUCAAAGGGAAAGGCCCAAGCUUGCCAAAUCUCAUAACUUUAUGGCUAUAGGGACCAAGGGGAGUCCAGACCUGAAGUUACAACUUCAGAUCUUGCCCCAAUACUCGAAAUGACUCCCAAAUGUGCUAAAGAUAGCCCUAAACCCAACCAUGAAGAGAUUUAGCUAAAGAUAAACCAAGUUAAUGACGUGUUACCUUCAAAAUGAUGCCAAGAUGAAGUAGAGUCAUAUCCACAAGCUCCUUUCUACUCCAAGCUUCUUAUACUUCACACCUUCUUUACACAAAGCACCAAAAUCACUCUUUAAACCUCACAAACACUCAAGAACAAGGUAAUAUCGAUUAGGGAGGGGUUGGUAAAGGACUAGAGGAAGGGACUUAAGAUCCUUUAAAUAUGGUGCUAACCCUAAAAUUAGGGUUUCAUCUCCCAACACCUACUCGUCGAGUCAGGGUCCCCCGACUCGUCAAGUAGAUCCCUUAUUCCACGCGGGCUAACCUGCCUCUACACGACGAGUUGGUGGAAACCAACUCAUAGAGUAGGUCCAUCUAUAUGCCAUAUAAUGCUUAAAACUUGUACUUGGGAGUCGGGGUGUUACACAGAUAAGAUUGGAGGAUGAUUUCAAUAGCAAACAUAUUGAAGGAAUGCCCACAAUUGGUUUCAAGUCAAGAGUGAACAUGUCUCCCUUUCAUUUCGACAUCAGCAAAAUCUCCUUCGUUUCCUUGUUUGAGAUUAUACUACCUUCCUCAUAAAUCAUAACCUGAUUACCUGUUCCAACAACUAGUUGUGAAACACUAAUCAAAUUAUGCUUUAAACCUUCAACAUAAGCGACUCGAUUCAUCAUGAAUUUUUCAUUCAUCACUUUUCCAUAUCCUUUGACUUUAUAUUUUUGAUUGUUUCCAAAAUUGACAACUCCAACAUUAUCCAACUUUUGAAAAUCUCUUAAAUUUUACUUCCUCCCAGUCAUGUGAAACGAGCAUCCACUAUCGAUGUACCACUUUUCAUCAAAUUGCUCGUCAGAUAGUACCUGCGAUCAGUUAGAAGAAUUUAGGUCCCUAAGACCUUUUGGGUCAUUGGACAUUAGUUUAAAACACAUUGUGUAAUGAAGAACCUAAGACCGGAUUACGAACUUCUGAUUCAAAACUUUCAAUUAAGUCAACUUCAUUAGCCUCAGGCAUCGAAAAUUAAUCAUACAAUGGGGAAGGUUUAACUUUGAUUUUCUCUUUUUCAUCCAUUUUCUUACAAACAUCAAUUUUCUUUGGAAUUUCUUUCCACUUUCACACCGUUGGUGUAGAUUCUUAAGAUGAAGUACUUCCAUUCAUUGAAUCAUUUAAGUACUUCUUGUAAGCAGUUUGUAUUUGCUCUUGAGAAUACUUUCGUGAUUGAUAUUGUUUUCCUUUUCCUUCAAGCCAAUGAUUGAUGUUCUUAACAUCUUAAUCUUUCAUCUUUUGUUUCGAACCGGAUUUAUAAAAUUUGGGUUGGUAGGUUUAACAACCUCACUCCCCUUUCCUUUAACCUCUAAUUUUUCGAAUUUUCUUUUGGCAAUUUAUCUUUGUUAAUGAUUUGGAAGAUGAUUUUGAUACCGGUGAUGAUAACCAACAUCAUUUUGUUGAAAUACCUUUUGAUAUUGACCAAAAUUUCUUGACCAUGAAUUUGACCAAAACUCUCUUGUACAUGAUUUUCAGCAAAACUCCUAUGUUCAUGAUUUGGAGCAAAACUCCUUUGUCCAUGAUUUGGAGUAAAACUCCUUUGUAAAUUUCUUUGUAAACCAUUUUGUCAAAAGUUAAUUUGGACAUAGUUUCGACUCCUUUGAAAAUCAUUUUGUUUUUAAAUUGUUUAUUUUGAAAAUUCUUUUCAUUUUGUGAACACUUCUUUGAUGUUUCAGAAGAUCUUUGUUUAAAAACCUUUUGUUUAUGAAAACCCUUUUCAUUUUUCCAAUAGGCUUUAUUUUGUGCUUUCGAUUUCGAAAUUCCUUCAUCAAAGGCAAUUUUUCUAUUUCUCUUAUGAAAGUUUGUGUUUUCACUUUUUGAUGUUUUGGAUCAUUAGGUAAAGAAUCAACAUGUUCUCCUUUGUUUUUAUUAUCAACAACUGAUUUUUCUGUUUUCACAUCCUAAACUCAUUUUGUUUUAGUUUAUUGUUGAAAUUGUUUUGAGUUUUUGUUUAAACCAUUUUCGACGGUGUUUUGACUUGAAUAAAAUCCUUCUUUCGUCACACUCACAAUGUCUUCAUUUACCAAAUUAUUCAAUUCAGGAGCCACAUUAUCACCAUUUCCUUUGGUAAUAAAGACUUGAUUUGGAAACACAACUUCUUCUGAAUCCUUGAACCUAGGAUAAACCAUUGCAUUUGAUUCAAGAAAAUAUUUUCCUUUAUCUUUUAGCACUUUCAUGUACUCCUUUGAAUCUUCGAAGACUUAAUCUACCAUAACUCUUGGAAUUGGUUUCUCAUUCGAAACUUCAUCCUCAUCACUCACAUAAUCCUUAACCAUACCAUAAUCAUGAGGAUCACAGGUUUUGAAUGUAGAAGGUUGAUCAUUGUUUAAUUUCGACAUUAAAUCAUUACUUUCUUUGCCUUUAGCCAUUGAAUUGACAUUAAUGACAGACAAUAAUGAGCAAUCGACACAUUCCUCUUUCUUAAUUUCACUGAUAUUGUCAGAAUUGUCUUCGAUAUCAGCACAAUUUUGUUGAGAACCAAGUGUUGACUUCUCAAUCAUGUUCAAAAUCUUGACUUGUUCAUUUUUGGUUAAAGUCUUAUUCACAAUAUCCACAAGAUCUUGUGUAACAUCGCAAAAUGUCAAGGUAAAAAUUUCAUUUCUAACACAAUCAAAACACCCAUUUAUAUUCUAAACAAACUUUUAGAAGCAACGCAUAAUAAAAUAGUUAUUAGAAUACAAUCUGAAAAUCACAAAGUUACGGAAAAACAUGGGUGUAUGUGUUGCGAUCAAGCCGGUCCCUUCCUUUUUGAACUGGAAGUACCUGAAACCAUAAACAAACUGUAAGCAUCAAAAAUGUGAUCAAGUCGGGCCCUUCUAUGAGCCAUAUCAUGGUUUUACUAUUGUGCCACGAACCAUAUCAUGGUCUUUCCUUGCUAAGCCGGGGGCCAAAACCUUGGGUCUUACAAUCAAGUGCCACGAGCCACCUCCUGGUCUUCCAUGCAAGCAUCAAAAAUACAACUAGCAUCUAAUUUUACAUCUAACUAUCUACAUAACUGCUAGGGUCCGAACCCUGGUCUUGCAUACAAAUUUUCCAGGAUCCACCUCCGGGUCUUUCAUAUAAUUGCCAAGGGCCAUCCCUUGGUCUUCCAAUAAUACAUAAGCCAAUGGGUAAGCAUUGGUGCCUUCGACCCAUAGAUACAAUGAGGAGACUCAACUUAAACAGCUGAAAACCACGGAUAAAUCUCUGACUGUAGAUCCGCUAAAAUCCCUGAGCUAUCAAUCAUAAAAUAACAUCCAAUUAAUAACUAGAUUCGACUCACACUAAGAGUCCAAAUUUGGGUAAAAGCCAUUUUUACCGUUUCCCCAACUUGGCCCAAGGCCAAGGCCCAAUCUAGUUGUCUAAAAGCCCAAAAUCUAAAAUAGUCACCUCAAGCCCAAUUUUCCAAAUUGGGCCCAAAUCUCUUUCAUGGGCCUUCAACCAAAGUCCAAAAAAAUAUCCACAACACAACAAUUGUAUAUUGAUUGCCCAACAAAGCCCAAGAUAACCAUGGCCCAAUACUGAGCAGCCCAUAACAUCGAAGCCCACUACUGAAUACGUGGGGCAUACUCAGCCUGUACGCUAAGCGUACUCGCUUAAGGGCUUGUAUACUAUGCGUACCAGAUUGUACGGCCAAUGUACCCAACUAGAUUGGCCAAUUUCCUCAUUUAGCUCUUAAAUGGUUAAGACUUCACUCCAAAAUUUAGAUCUGACUUCCUUAAGAUGGUUUAUCACGUAAAGUUUCCAACUUUACGAGCAUGCAUGGCUUAAUAAGGCUCUUAGAGCUCAAAAGAGUUUAAUAAAUGACUUAAUGUAUUCAUGAGACCACCAGAACCAUAAAGCUUGCACCUUUAAGCUUAAGGAACUCUCCAAACAUCCAGAUUUACAAGAUUUAGCUUCUAAAAUGGCCUUAACCCAUCAGGACCAACCACAAAUGGACAAAGAAGUAUAAAACAAUAACAUGAAGAGAUCUAAGCAAAGAGUAGACAAGGUAUGAACUUUAUACCUCAAAAGCCACCAAAAGAUGGAGCUAAAUCUGGAUCUCCAAGCUUCCCCCCAAUGAAUGAGUCUUCCUACUUCUUCUUCUACCACUUCAAGGAGCACAACCCACUAAAAUCAAGACCAAGGUUCAAGAACACUCAAAGAUGCUAUUAGGGUUCAAGAUUAGGGUUUUAGGAUAAUGGAGGCUAGUUAAAUAAGGAAAAAAGAAGCUAUCUUAAGAUUUAUAGCCCUAAAAAUAGGGUUUCUACAUUGCUCACGUACGCUAAGAGUAAUCCACGUACGCCCAACGCAAGUGGAUGAACUCCGAGACCCACCUACAUGAGUACAACCAACAUACAAGGAGUAUGACCAACAUACUCCAACUUUCCCAAAGUUGACAUUUCAGGCCCCCAUUGAAAGACCCUAACUUUCGUAUUUAUGAAAGACCCAAACUUUCAUACUCGACAAUAUAGUUACUCCAAAACAUGCUACUUGCAUAUUCAUAAAAACAAUAUUUUAUAUUGAUAAAGAGAUUACAAAUACUGCAUACAAACCGACUAUUUUAAAGUGUUAUAUAUUACAUAACUUCCCAGGAUUCUAUAGUUUUAUACAUAUGGGAGUGCAAAAUACAAUAGUUUCAAACUAUUCAUAAGCUUCCAUCGAUACAAUAGUUUCAAACUAUUCAAAAAUCUUCUACCAGUAUAUAACUAUGUUGGAUGUUUAUCUCCUGCAAUUUGUUAAACAUCGAGAGGGUAAGCGGACACGCUUAGUGAGUUCAAUAAUAGAUACAAUAUAACGUUAUGCCAUAUAUAUACUUUAAUAGGGCAGAAGCAAAGAGGAACAAGGAACAACAAGGGCACAUGUGAAUCAUGUGACAUACAUUCCAUAUCAAUCAUUGAUUUGAUUUAAAGAUAUACAAUCAAUGAGACAUAACAAUUUCCGUGCUUGAUAUACAUCAAUAAAGCUUUGGCCCAAAUGGCACAGAAGAUAUACAACUUCGGAUUAACAUUUCGGUAGAUUUCAGGCUUAUAGCCCUAUCUAACCUUCUGCCACUACCAUAGAAUAGAAUUCAUUCUCUUACGGAGACAUGUUCCACAUGGCCAGAGGCUACAUACCAGUACCAACGUGAAUCUAAGUCCUUUCACUGAUCACAUGGUCAAAGGUAUUUCUUUGCUAUUAAAAAUAGCAANNNNNNNNNNNNNNNNNNNNNNNNNNNNNNNNNNNNNNNNNNNNNNNNNNNNNNNNNNNNNNNNNNNNNNNNNNNNNNNNNNNNNNNNNNNNNNNNNNNNNNNNNNNNNNNNNNNNNNNNNNNNNNNNNNNNNNNNNNNNNNNNNNNNNNNNNNNNNNNNNNNNNNNNNNNNNNNNNNNNNNNNNNNNNNNNNNNNNNNNNNNNNNNNNNNNNNNNNNNNNNNNNNNNNNNNNNNNNNNNNNNNNNNNNNNNNNNNNNNNNNNNNNNNNNNNNNNNNNNNNNNNNNNNNNNNNNNNNNNNNNNNNNNNNNNNNNNNNNNNNNNNNNNNNNNNNNNNNNNNNNNNNNNNNNNNNNNNNNNNNNNNNNNNNNNNNNNNNNNNNNNNNNNNNNNNNNNNNNNNNNNNNNNNNNNNNNNNNNNNNNNNNNNNNNNNNNNNNNNNNNNNNNNNNNNNNNNNNNNNNNNNNNNNNNNNNNNNNNNNNNNNNNNNNNNNNNNNNNNNNNNNNNNNNNNNNNNNNNNNNNNNNNNNNNNNNNNNNNNNNNNNNNNNNNNNNNNNNNNNNNNNNNNNNNNNNNNNNNNNNNNNNNNNNNNNNNNNNNNNNNNNNNNNNNNNNNNNNNNNNNNNNNNNNNNNNNNNNNNNNNNNNNNNNNNNNNNNNNNNNNNNNNNNNNNNNNNNNNNNNNNNNNNNNNNNNNNNNNNNNNNNNNNNNNNNNNNNNNNNNNNNNNNNNNNNNNNNNNNNNNNNNNNNNNNNNNNNNNNNNNNNNNNNNNNNNNNNNNNNNNNNNNNNNNNNNNNNNNNNNNNNNNNNNNNNNNNNNNNNNNNNNNNNNNNNNNNNNNNNNNNNNNNNNNNNNNNNNNNNNNNNNNNNNNNNNNNNNNNNNNNNNNNNNNNNNNNNNNNNNNNNNNNNNNNNNNNNNNNNNNNNNNNNNNNNNNNNNNNNNNNNNNNNNNNNNNNNNNNNNNNNNNNNNNNNNNNNNNNNNNNNNNNNNNNNNNNNNNNNNNNNNNNNNNNNNNNNNNNNNNNNNNNNNNNNNNNNNNNNNNNNNNNNNNNNNNNNNNNNNNNNNNNNNNNNNNNNNNNNNNNNNNNNNNNNNNNNNNNNNNNNNNNNNNNNNNNNNNNNNNNNNNNNNNNNNNNNNNNNNNNNNNNNNNNNNNNNNNNNNNNNNNNNNNNNNNNNNNNNNNNNNNNNNNNNNNNNNNNNNNNNNNNNNNNNNNNNNNNNNNNNNNNNNNNNNNNNNNNNNNNNNNNNNNNNNNNNNNNNNNNNNNNNNNNNNNNNNNNNNNNNNNNNNNNNNNNNNNNNNNNNNNNNNNNNNNNNNNNNNNNNNNNNNNNNNNNNNNNNNNNNNNNNNNNNNNNNNNNNNNNNNNNNNNNNNNNNNNNNNNNNNNNNNNNNNNNNNNNNNNNNNNNNNNNNNNNNNNNNNNNNNNNNNNNNNNNNNNNNNNNNNNNNNNNNNNNNNNNNNNNNNNNNNNNNNNNNNNNNNNNNNNNNNNNNNNNNNNNNNNNNNNNNNNNNNNNNNNNNNNNNNNNNNNNNNNNNNNNNNNNNNNNNNNNNNNNNNNNNNNNNNNNNNNNNNNNNNNNNNNNNNNNNNNNNNNNNNNNNNNNNNNNNNNNNNNNNNNNNNNNNNNNNNNNNNNNNNNNNNNNNNNNNNNNNNNNNNNNNNNNNNNNNNNNNNNNNNNNNNNNNNNNNNNNNNNNNNNNNNNNNNNNNNNNNNNNNNNNNNNNNNNNNNNNNNNNNNNNNNNNNNNNNNNNNNNNNNNNNNNNNNNNNNNNNNNNNNNNNNNNNNNNNNNNNNNNNNNNNNNNNNNNNNNNNNNNNNNNNNNNNNNNNNNNNNNNNNNNNNNNNNNNNNNNNNNNNNNNNNNNNNNNNNNNNNNNNNNNNNNNNNNNNNNNNNNNNNNNNNNNNNNNNNNNNNNNNNNNNNNNNNNNNNNNNNNNNNNNNNNNNNNNNNNNNNNNNNNNNNNNNNNNNNNNNNNNNNNNNNNNNNNNNNNNNNNNNNNNNNNNNNNNNNNNNNNNNNNNNNNNNNNNNNNNNNNNNNNNNNNNNNNNNNNNNNNNNNNNNNNNNNNNNNNNNNNNNNNNNNNNNNNNNNNNNNNNNNNNNNNNNNNNNNNNNNNNNNNNNNNNNNNNNNNNNNNNNNNNNNNNNNNNNNNNNNNNNNNNNNNNNNNNNNNNNNNNNNNNNNNNNNNNNNNNNNNNNNNNNNNNNNNNNNNNNNNNNNNNNNNNNNNNNNNNNNNNNNNNNNNNNNNNNNNNNNNNNNNNNNNNNNNNNNNNNNNNNNNNNNNNNNNNNNNNNNNNNNNNNNNNNNNNNNNNNNNNNNNNNNNNNNNNNNNNNNNNNNNNNNNNNNNNNNNNNNNNNNNNNNNNNNNNNNNNNNNNNNNNNNNNNNNNNNNNNNNNNNNNNNNNNNNNNNNNNNNNNNNNNNNNNNNNNNNNNNNNNNNNNNNNNNNNNNNNNNNNNNNNNNNNNNNNNNNNNNNNNNNNNNNNNNNNNNNNNNNNNNNNNNNNNNNNNNNNNNNNNNNNNNNNNNNNNNNNNNNNNNNNNNNNNNNNNNNNNNNNNNNNNNNNNNNNNNNNNNNNNNNNNNNNNNNNNNNNNNNNNNGGCGUGUUUCGGGCUUUAGAAUCAGUACCGGGGCUUCGGGGGAUGUCGGGAUAGUAAAAAUAUUGAAAAAGGGGGUGAAAGUGGAAAUUUUCUAAAACUAGCCGAGAGGGCUCGCACCCCUUAUAUAGGGCCGAGUUUUGGAUCCGAAGCUAAGGGAAGGAGACAGGUGGUUGCGAGGCUCGGACCAGAUGGCAGCUUCGGCGAGGCUCGGAUGCGAGGAGUCAUCAACUUCAGGCGCGUCAUCGGCUGGGUCUUCGGCUCGGACGCUGACGAUGCGCAGGUGGCUCGCACGUAGGCUGCGCAUGCGAGGGCGAUCAAGGGGGUGUCUCCUACGAAGGUGUUCCAAGCUUAGUGGUCCUCGGGCUUGGUCCAAUCAGAAGGCAACACGCAAGGCUGCGGUCCAAUCAGAAGCGAACACCUGUCCGACACGUGGAAGCCUCGCAUACGAGGGUGACGUGGCAGCACUAUUCAUGCGAAUUUUCUCGAAAAAUGUGCCAAAUCUUGUAAAAUCCAUAACUUUCGCAUACGAGCUCCGUUUUUGACGUUCUUUAUAUGCACGCGAAGCUAAAAUUAUGCUCUACAACUUUCGUUUAGACUUCCUCGGCUAAUUUUGACUUUAAUCUUAAUAUUAUUAUUUUUAACACACCGGGACAGGAAAAUCCGUUAAAAAUUCAUAACUUCUUCAUCCGACGUCCGUUUUCGUCAGACUUUUUACCGUUGCAAUACUAAUGACGAGACCUUCAAUUCUCGUUUAGGUUGUGUCGGCUAAAAAUCACUCGAUCUAGACUUCGAGUUUUUAGUUGUCUACUGCUAAGCUGAAACUUCAAAAAAAAUCAUAACUUUCUCAUACGAAGUCAGAUUCAAACGGUCUUUAUAUGAAAGUUGAUUAUUUUUACGAGUUCUACAACUUUCAUUUACAUCACUAAGGCUAAAAAUUAGUUUAUCGAAAACUAAAUUUUUACGCGACAAGGUAUUUUCCGGAUUUAUCACGGAUAUUCGUUUGGUCAUAACUUCUUCGUUAUAACUCGGAUUUCGAUGAGGUUUUCGCCUAAAUGUUUCUAACGAGUUUAUCUACAACUUUCAAUAAUAAAAUUUUACUUAUUCCAAAUUUUAUAUUUUCGCUAUAUUUCACUAUUUGGCUUUUGAUUGGAAUCUCAUAAGACUUCCAAUACUUUCUGAAUGAUUCUAAGCAUAGUGUUACUUCAAUUCUAGUAAAAACUAUCUGUUAGAACUCAACAUUCAAAUUCACAUAAUAUUUCAGAAUAUUAUUUACUUAAAACACGAUUUCAAAACGUGUAUGUUACACCCAUGGACCAAUUCUACAAACAAUACACCCCCAAAGGGCCUAAACUAAAAUGUGCAAUAAAUCGAACGUUACAACUCUCCCCUGCUUAAAUUUGAUUUUGUCCUCGAAAUCAUUCCUUACCAUCCCAAGCACGCCAGGUAGCGUGAGGAAAACAACUACAGCCCCGAAAAUACAACGACCUUCCCAAGGCAACCGAACCCAACUUUAGCACAACUCUCUAAACCUGACGAUGAACGAAUCCUUAAUCCCUUGCAGAAUAACCAGUUCUACCUUACCCAAAAUCUGAAAUAUCGAAUUGGUCUAACUCCCCGACAUACCACCUAUACUGAAACACUACCAAGACAAUUCUACUUUGAAUUCCAAGCUAAAGAAAACACUUCCAACCCUUGAUGAUCUUGUUGCUUCUAGUGGGAACAAAAUCACUAACCAUUCAUUGCCGCGGAACACUUUUACUUGACAGAAGACUCAAAUAAUCCGUCGAGUAGAAGACCCAUCUCUACAACGGUUAGACUCAAACAAGAGAUACGCAGCAGGGUCGAAUCAAUUACUCUGAGAUUAUUUAAUCCAAGUUUCAAGUAACAUAACAUGUUCAACGAAUAACAAACGAUUGCACACACGAGUCCCAAAUCGCUAAUACCGCCUCAGAUCAUCUUGUUGCCCCCUAGCCGCUUUCCAAAAGCAACCGAGACCUCCCUGGUCCCAAAUUAGCUGCCGAAUAACCAAUUCACCAGAUUUCCACCCGGUUGAUGGGAUAAUUAGUCAUACACAGUCGCACCAUGUGACUUCCGAAUGAAGGCUUCAUCUGAAAAUAAUUGUCCUAGCUAUCUUGCCACUAUGGCUCCAACAACCUUUCUAAUCCAACCGAUCAUAACCGACAGUCAAUCCUGACGCCCCCAAUCCAAUGCUAAAAGUGAAUGCUACAUGACCAACUAUAGUCUUAUAUCACAACCGGACUCAUACAACCUGCCACUUCCUUAAUCCCAUGGAUGUUGUGGCCUUCUCACAGUCUUACAAACUGACCUACUUUGGUCUAAUCCAUCUGAAAAAAAAUCCAUAGUCUAAAUCAUAGAUUUUCCAUGCCCUCACUGCUACUCAAGGACUAGUGAAUGCUACGGGCAACCCUACAGUCUUACAUCACUCCAACAUUAUCUGUCAACCUAGUGAAUGCUACGGGCCACCCUGCAGUCUUACAACACUCCAACACUAUCUGCCAACAUAGUGAAUGUUACGGGCCACUCUGCAGUCUUACAACACUCCAACACUAUCUGCAAACCUAGUGAAUGCUACGGGCCACCUUAUAGUCUUACAAUACUCCUAUCUUUCCAUGGCCACUGCCCAUGGUCUUACCGCUCAUCCACCAAUAAAUCCAUACUCAUCCUGUAUCAAACACACAUCUGACUAUACUCCAAUCAGGUGUUCGGGUCAUGCUUCGAACCCCAAAGCCUUAAUCAGACUAGAACAUGCAGAGAGGCUCUAACACAACCCUCAACCUAGAUCCAUCUAUAUGUCAGCUAUCCAUCACAAGGAAGACGUCAACUAGCUGUUGGAAGUUUACCGAACUCCCAACUUACAAAAUAUUUGAUCCAGAUGGCCACUUGAGUCGUAUUCGCUCCCAACGGGGAUGUGAAACUCAUACUAGUUUCACGCUUGAUUCAAGUUCCGAAAAUUGGAAUGAUUCACCCCCACUUAGAUUCAUCGAAGCUCUUCCAUCCCAAGAAGUUUGAUGGAUUCCCAAUCCAUCUUAACUCCUUAUGAAUUGAAGUGCCGACAACCUGAGCUUACCAAUACUAGUGUUCCAUCACUAGCCAAUCCCAAUGACCGCACGACUCUUGAAAUCCAGAUGAACACGUUUGACAGCCUCAAUUGCUACCCAUGAUACAACACCCAAUCCUUAAGUCCUUUAUGUUUGUGACAAAGACCAUAACCCCUGCGAUAAAGAAAUUCCCCUGGCACUUCUAGUGACCAACCAAACUCAUGAAACUGCCACCAUUAUCUCCUUGCUAGCAUUCCUUCCGUAGCAACGGUAGUGAUUGAACCCGAAGGUUCUUCCAUAGACGACCGCCACCCGAUCAAAUUCUAAAACAACUAAACUUUGAAUUCAUUGCUGAAAUAACCCGCUAAUCCGACCAUUGACCUUCUAAACAAUACCCCUGAACUGAUCCCAUCAAAGAACUGGAACAACAACCGAACAACAAAAAACCGCUCAGCUAGAUACGACCCACUAAUGAUUCAUGGAACGCAAAAUGUCAUAUAACAAUUCUUGAUGAAAUAACCCAGAAAAAAAAUAGAGAACCAAACCAGACAUAAUGCGUACCCAAACCAAUACAAAAUUCCAAAGCAAAAUAAAUACUAACAAUAACCAAGAAGAAAGAAAAGGAUAACAUACCCGCAAUAGAACCUAAUGAAACCCUGGUCUCCCUUGACUGAUACUGCAAUGCUCGACUCCUCUCUGAUGGGGUUCCUUCCCUACCUUCAAGACCAUCAGUGAUCCUCAAAGUAACUGAAGUAGGUGCACUCACUGAUCUGCCCCUUAACAUCAUACAAUUGGCCUUCUUGUGGCCCACCUGGUUGCAGCGUAAACAUAAAGGGCAUGUCCCCUGAAGAUAAUCCCGACUGACAUGACCAACCCUUCCACACUUGAAGAAGCUUAUGCCCCUAGAAUGAAAAACCCCAUCGUGCCGCUUCCCGCAUGUGCUUCAUUGAUCCUGAAUCUGCUGGCCCCUCAAUCCUCGAUCUGAAGUGUUGGGUCUCUUUGUAGGACCCUCAAUUACCUGCUCAUGCUCUGGUCGCUUCUUUUCCAGGUGCUCCAAAUCAAUCUUGCGCUCUCAGGCUCUAGAAAUCAUAUCAUUUAGAGUCUUGCACCCUGAAAUACUCACGAACUCCCUGAUGUCAUCCCUCAGCAUAUCAUGAUAUCUUACCUUCUUCAUUUCCUCAUCCACUGCAUACCACGAAACCAAUAAAGCCCUCUCCUAGAACUUGGCAACGAUCUCUGCCACAAUCUCUGUAGUUUGACGGAGGUCUAGAAACUCCCUCGCCAACUGCUGUACCUCAAUACACGGUGUGAGCUUAUCCCUAAACCGGGUCACAAACUCAUCCCAAGUCAUCGUCUCUAGGGCCUCGCCUCCUAAGGAGAAGUCUACCUUCUACCACCAAUCUCGAGCUCUGUCUUUCAGAAGAUAGGUAGAAAAUCUAACCUUCAACCCCACAUGAUAGAAACUCGUCCUGAACGCAUUAGCCAUAUUUGCUAACCAUCUUCUACUGGAAAUGGGGUCCUUCUCCCCAAAGAACAUGGGAGCUCCACAAGCAUGAAACUCAUGAAAAGAAAGAAUGAGAGCUCCAACAAUAGCCAUAACCUCAGCGCAGAAUGCGGCGAAACGCUCAUCCAUAAUCUUCAAAAUCCCCUCCUUGACCGUAGCAAAGAUCACAGGAGUCUGCUCCAAAAUGCCGUGGGUAAUCUCUGAUGAGAUGAACUCCCACAUCUACUUACUGAUCGACUCGGUCUUGAUUUGGAACCAGAAUGUGAACCUCAUUCCUGAGUGAUCAUCACCAACUCAUAAAUAACAUACAAUUGAUCAGAACAUACCUAAAAAUCCUCAUCCUACAGGCUUCCUAGAUUCUCCAAGACUCUCCCCGAUUCGAUUAUGGAUCCCGUGCUUUCAAUAGUACGGGCCCAAUACUAGCUUCCACACCUAUCCAUACUUUCAUCAAGAAUCAUCCCAAAUCCUCUAAGUCACCUUCUCAAACUGAUACUCUAAAUGAUCGCUAUACAAUGCAACUAAACCCACUAAAGUGCUUCCUAGGCUCUCCUAGGUUCCAGAACUCACCCUGCCAUUAGCUGCUGAAAGACUCCCACCAAUGUCAACUAACUACCUCAUGAAUAUAGUCACAUGCAAUAGAGAUCAAAUAAGCGUUUGAGUAAAAGACUCAACCUUAGAACGGUUGGACUCAAACAAGAGUUGCGCAAUAGGGCCAAAUCCAUCACUCAAAGAUUAUUUAACCUGUGCAACAUCUGGCUUAACAUAUUCACUUAGUAGCUGAUCCACAUCACUAAGAGUCCCACAAAGCACACAACAAGCAAACCAUACUAGCAUGCAAUUAUAAAAGCUCAACAAUCAUGCAUAUAAAGGCAUCUCUCCUAACAUAUAUUCCUGAACAAAUCCUUACCCUAGUCUAACAUGCAAUUCUCAUAACAUAUAAUCAUAAAAACAUGUAUGGGUAUUCUUGGAAUCACUUACUUGAGCUCGGCCGAUUACAUGCAUCACACCCCCUUUGUCUUAACAAAAUCCUUUCAGAAUUCCUUUCCUUUUUCAAAAAUCUUUUUAAAACUUGCUUUUUUAAGAAGUGUUACCAAUUCUUUAAUUUGAGUUCAGUCACACUCGAGAGUGUGCCCGAAUCAAUCAAACCAAGGCUCCGAUACCAACUUGUAACAUCCCAAAAUAUCAAGGUAAAAAUUUCAUUUUUAACAAAAUCAAAACACCCAUUUAUCCUUUAAAAAAACAUUUAGAAGCAUCACAUAAUAAAACAGUUAUCAGAGUACAAUCCCAAAAUCACAAAGUUGCGGAAAAAACAUGGUUGUAUGCGUUGUAAUAAAGCCGGGACCUUCCCUUUUGAAUUGGAAGUACCUUAAACCAUAAACAAACUGUAAGCACAAAGCUUAGUGAGUUCAACAAAAUACCACAUACCAUAUAUAUCAUACAUACUAUAGAGAGUGCUAUGUGCUAGCCAUAGUCUUGCCAUUAUGCCAUGAGCCAUAUCAUGGUUUUACCAUUGUGCCACGAACCGUAUCGUGGUCUUUCCUUGACAAGCUGGGGGCUAACACCAUGGGUCUUACAAGAAAGUUCCAGGAGCCACCUCUUGGUCUUCCAUGCAAGCAUAAAAAAUACAACUAGAUACAAUUUUACAACUAACUAUCUACGUAACUGCUAGGGUCCGAACCCUGGUCUUGCAUACAAAUUUUCCAGGAUCCACCUCCGGGUCUUUCAUACAGUUGCCAAGGGCCACCCCUUGGUCUUCCAAUAAUACAUAAGCCAAUGGGUCAACAUUGGUGCCUUUGACCCAUAUAUACAGUGAGGAGACUCAGCUUAGACAACUGAAAACCACAGACAAAUCUCUGACUGCAGAUCCGCUAAAAUCCCCGUGCCAUCAAUCACAAAAUAACAUCCAAUUAAUAAUUGGAUCCCGAAUCACACUAAGAGUCCAAUUUUGGGUAAAAUACCUUUUUACCCUUUCUCGAACUUGGCCCAAGGCCAAGCCCCAAUCCAAUUGUCCAAAAGCCCAAAAUCUAAAAUAGUCACCUCAAGCCCAAUUAUGGCCCAACUUUCCAAAUUAGGUCCAAUCUGUUUCAUGGGCCUUCAACCAAAGUCCAAUAAAAUAUCCUCAACCCAACAAUUGAAUCCUGAUGGCCCAACAAGGCCCACAACAACCAUGGACGAAUACUGAGAAGCCAUAACACUGAAGCCCACUAUUAAGUAUGCAGGGCGCACUCAACUUGGACGCUAAGCGUACUUGCUUAAGGGCUUGCACACUAUGCGUACCAGAUUGUAUGCCGAACAUAUCCAACUAGAUUGGCCAAUUUAAUCAUUCAGCUCUUGAACGGUUAAGAUUUCACUCCAAAACUUAAAUAUGUCUUCCUUAAGAUGGUUUAUCACGUAAAGUUGCCAACUUUAUGUGCAUGCAUGUCUUAAUGAGGUUGUCAGAUCUCAAAAUAACUUAAUAAAUGACUCAAUGUAUGCAUGAGACCACCAAUACCAUAAAUCUUGGAACUUUAAACUUAAGUAACUCUCCAAACUUCCAAAUCUACAAGAUUUAGCUUCUGACCUUAACCCAUCAAGACCAACCACAAAGGGACAAAGAAGCAUAAAACAAUAACAUGAAGAGAUCUAAGCAAAUAGUAGAAAAGGUAUGGACUUUAUACCUCAAAAGCCACCCAAAGAUGGAGCUAAAUCUGGAUCUCUAAGCUUCCCCUUAAUGAAUGAGUCUUCGAACUUCUUCUUCUAUCACUUCAAGGAGUACCAACCACCAAAAUCAAGACCAAGGCUCAAGAACACUCAAAGAUGCUAUUAGGGUUCGAGAUUAGGGUUGUCAGACAAUGGAGGCUUGUUAAACAAGGAAAAAAGAGGAUAUUUUAUGGCUUAUAUAGUGUACAAGCCCUAAAAAAAGGGUUUCUACACUGCUUAUACGCUAAGCGUACUCCACGUACGCCCAACAUACGUGGAUGAACUACACGACCCUCUUUCUUGAGUACACCCAACGUACUUAAACUUUCCCAAAGUUGACAUUUUAGCCCCACAUGGACCAAUUAUGCAAACAAUACAUCCCCAAAGGGCCUAAACCGAAAUGUGCAAUAAAUCGAGUGUUACAUCAUCAACAUUCAAACAUUCAUUUAUAUUUACAGUACCAUAUGCAUAAGAAUCAUUUGAAAAUUUUCUCGUAAUCUGCUAUCUUGCUUUCACAGUCAUGUGUGAUUUCGUCUAUCUAUUCUCUUUUAAAAGCAAUAAAAGGAAGUAGCUUUCGAUGCUGUUCACUAUAAAUCUCAAUAGAAGGAUGAAGUUUAGUUAAUUUUGCAUAAAACUUCUAACAGUAUUACGAUAGAUGUUCCAUUGUUUUAUAAUCAUAAUAUUAUCCAUACGAAUAGAGCCUCUAUCUAUUAAAAGAUUUGUUUUUCUUAGGUCAAGAGACUCCACUAAUCCCUUCUUUUCUUCGAGUCUAUUUUAGCUUCAUAUAAUUGGGUUUUGGACUUUUCUGCUUCACUACUCAUGGAGAUUAACAUAUCAUUAAGACAAGCACACGUAUUAUCAAACUCAGACAAAACAUCAUUAUAAUAAGGUGAAGGAAUUUUAAAUGAGUUAAGAAGAUCACGUAUCUCUGCGGUCAUUGGUGAUUUAGUCUAGUCUGUCGAAGCGAAACACCUUCUAGUAAUCUUAUCUUCUUCAUCCUGUCUCAUUUGAAACAUCUUUCUCUUAUUCAUCCUCUUACAUUUUCGUAUACAUUGCCCAAUGAGUUGGAUGGUGCAUGUGACAUCCCCAUUUUCACGGCCCAAAAAGUCCGAUUUUUGUUUAUGCUUUAUAAAAAUUAGAGUACCUCUUUUAAUAAAAUGUUGCGGAAUUUGUUCCCAGUAAAACAUGAUAAAUAUGUUAUCAAAGCAUUUUCGAAGAAAAGUAUUUUUAUUCAUUUUAAAACAUUUGGGAUGCAAUCGUCAAUACAGUAACAUAAGCAUAAACAGAACUUACAUUCAUUAUCACUAGUGAUUUAUAUCUCCUUAAUCUCUCAGUGUAAUGUGACUUCAUAUCAACACCUGUGAUAUAAAUAAACUGAGUGGGUCAAGUUGGGAAACCUGGUGAGUACAUAGGGUUUUCAACCCACAAUAAUAUAAUUAUUAUGUUAAACAUCAAGCAAUUAACCUAAUUACCCAUCCCCAUUAUCUUCUUUACUCUUAAGGAUUUACCCUAAGAUUCAACUAUUCCUCGUUCGUUCAUUCCUAAGGAGUAUCCUAAGGAAUCAACAUUAAGUCUACAUAGUCGCCAGGGUUUAUCUUGUUUAUUUACAAUAUCGUUUUCAAUAGUCCACUCGCAAUACCUGUCAAUGGGUUUUUAGAGUACACUGGGUGAACACAUUGUUCACAACACCUACAGGUUGCGAGCCUGCUAGUGUUCCACUAGACUGUCUAGAAUAGUUCGUGGUUAUCAUCCAUACUCUGCUAGAUGACGAGGCCAUCGUUUGACUCAUCGUUUGGCUCGUCGUUUUGGCUCAUCGUUUUGGCUCAUCGUUUUGGCUCAUCGCUUUGGUCCAUCACUUAGUUCAUCGCUUUGCACCAUAUUUUAUCACUCAUAUAUCAUCGCUCAUCAUUCAUCUCAUUUUUCAUCGCUCAUCAUUUAUCUCAUCUUUCAUCGCUCAUCAUUUAUCUCACAUCUAAUCUACCCAUGUUUUACCCAACACAUUUUGUAGAUAUAAAACACAUAUACAGUUUAGAUCAUUUUAGAACAUGUAUAAAACGUUUCAUCCAGCAUAGACAGCAAGUAUUUAGACAAUAUACACACAUAGCACGUAAUAUAUAUAAAAUACUUCAUAUCUAUGUGUAAGAUGAAAGUAACUAUGCACUCACUUGGUAAGGUGGUGAUUCCGAACUCAGACAGCGCUUCGUUACUCUUAAAACAAUUUCCUUCUACAAAACCGAGUAUCAAUACCGCUAGGGUUUAGUCUAACGUUAACCGCAACUAAUUAAUAGUCUAGCUAUUAUUACUAUUAUAUAAGCGUUAAACAACACUCUUAUAUAACUCAUAAUAAUAGUCCUAAUAAUUAUUUUAAGGUCCUAAUAAUGUUACUAUAGUUAAAAAGUGAAUUUACGAUAAAAUACUUUCGUUUAGAUCACUAAGGCUAAAAAGUAUUUUAACGUAAAUUCACUUUUUACGAUUCCCGGUGUCGUGCGGGUUUAGCCAUAAAACUUCGACGGGUCAUAACUUUUUUGUUAUAACUCGGAUUUUAGCGUUCUUUAUAUGUACAAAACCCUUGUGACAUAUACUAUAACGGUCAAGAUUAUUUAUUCUAAAUUAUCUUAUAUCAAAAAUGUCGUUUUUGAUGCUCAUUGUCUCUAAAUUGACUAACCCGAAUCUGCGGGUGCUACAGUGCAUCUCCUCGUCAUCCGAUCCUGAAGACUAGAUCUAAUAAGUUCCAUAUUCCUCAUCAUUUCCAUUAGCAACUAAUGAAAAGUUCUUUGUCUAUGAACAAAUUUCUUCAAGCCUCUCUACGUAAUAAGCUUCAUCUUUGACUCUCUCCUUUUUCUCUUCUUUCUUCCUUAGCAUGCAAUCCUUUGCCAAAUGAUUCGACCCAUUGCAAUAGUUAAAUUAAUAACCUGAGUCUUUUUUCAGUUUCAACUCCUUCUUCUUCUCAUAUGAAUCCUUAACAUAUUUCUUUUCUACUUUAAAUCAUCCUUCACACUUUUUCUAGAUGACAUGUUUCCUUUAACCUCAUCGAUAUUCUUGAAUUUUGGAUUAAAAGGCUUCUUAAAGAAUUUCUUCACUUUGUUAUUCGAGUAGUAUGCGACAGCUUCAUCAUCGGAGUGAAACAAGAAACCUUCUUCCCCAUUUUUUGGAUUCUUCAUCAGAUUCAAAUUCAGAUUCCUUUGCAACAACUUUCGAAACCAAUGCCAAUGGUCCUCACAGACUCAAUUUACUUUCUUCUGUAAUAUCAUUAAUCUCACUUUCAUGUGCUUUCAAGACAUUCUACAUUUUGAAAGAGAGUAACCAUCAAAGCUUUUUUUGUGUCUUGAUCAUCAAACUGAUAUUUCUCCAACCCUUACUUAAACCCAUGAGAAAUGAGAGAUUGAACUCUACUGAUGAACGUGUCACUCCAAGGCGUGAAAACUUGAAGAUCAAUUCAUUCAAUCGAGCAUAGUAUGAUUCGAAUGAUUUUGUUUCCUUCUGCUUGAAUUCUCCCAACUCUAGAAAGCAUUUUUUUUGACUAAACUCUUCUUCGUCUUCUCAUUUCCAUAAUAUUUCUCCUUUAUUUUAUCCCAAAUUUGCUUUGCAGUUUUACAUCCUCGAAUAUAAUUGUAAACUACUGGUGGAAGAGCACCAUGUAAUUCACGCAUACAUUUCUUAUCAUUUUCCUUCAUCCUAGAUCCUCUUGUGAUCAUGUCAUCAAAACUUGCAAAUGUACCAACAUUGAAUAACAUCGCCUGAUGAAAUUCUCCACUUUUGAUGGAUCUCAUCAGAUCUUCAUCAAUCCCAUUUAGAUAAUCCUCCAUCCUGUCAGUCCAUUGCUCAUAAUAUUACGUAAAUCAACAUUGGAAUCUUUGUUGAUGAUCCGAGCAAGUGAGAGAAAUUAGACAUCGUGUUUAUACUAAAAUUUGCCAUUGUUGUAUGUAUUUAGAAGAAAGAGAAUUUUUUAUUCAAAACAAAGUCUAAGAAAGAAACCAAUCAGAGAUUGACCAGAAAUCAAUUGAUCUAACACACAGAGUGCAAAAUCAGUUCAAUACAACCAAUUGACACCAAUUUCCUAAUUCAAUUUGCGGAAGAUUUUGAAUCAGAAAGAGCGAUUAAAAAAAUGAAAAAUUAAGAGAAAACUUCAAUCGAUUGAGCGAAUCCUGCUCUGAUACCAAUUGAUGUGAGUUUGAGAUUGAUUAAGAAUACAAUUGAAUCAAUAAAAGCUGUAAAUGGACACGAGAUCUAAAUAAGAUCUGUUUGGCUCAAAUAAAGCUUGAAGAGUACAACAGAGCAAUUUGAGUACAAAUGAUAAUGACAUUAUAAUCGUUACCCUACUCUAUGUACUUACCCUGUUUAUAGGGUGCAACAGACUCACAAAAAGUUACAAGGACUAAACAUUCUGUAUCAAAACUAAUGUACCUUAUAAAAUAGAUAGAGUGUCGAAACUAGACAACUUUUGACACUUUACAGGCGCAAACUACUUUCGACUUCUCACUACUCACAUUCGACCAAACAGGGUCCCCACUUAAAGGUAGCAUUAUUUUUUGUCAAGUGGCUCAAAGGCACAACAAUAUUGGAGAAAUCUUGAAAACUUCCCAAAAAUACAAACCAAAAAUUUCAUUUUAAAUCAUUUAAGAAAACCGUAAUUCAUCAAACAUCAUAAUAAUAAAAUCAUAAGUCACGUAUCUUAAAACAUCGUAUAAAAAAUACAGUAUCAAAACACGUGUCAGAAUAUCAGAGUCUAAACAUCCCAAGCUAAAAGCUGUGGUGAGUGCCAUGAAGUCAUCCCGAGCUCUUCCCCUGGUUAGUGGAAGUACUUGAAACCAAAACUGAAAACUGUAAGCACAAAGCUUAGUGAGUCUCUCCAAGCUACCACAUAACAUACACAUAAGCACAUAUCAACAUACAUUAGGCCUAGAUCGCUACCUCAGGCCCUGCCCGACAUCGAAAGAAUCCGUCAUCAGGCCCCGCCGGGCAUCAAGCCCCACUUGGUAUACAAAUCUAUUUCUACUAGGCCCUGCCUAUCUUGGGGCCCUGCCCGCUAUACAUAUACAAACAAUAAUAUAUAAUCAUGCUAGUACAUAACAGACAAACACAGCACCCUAAAUGCUAGUCUCAAGGCCCCGCCUAUUGUCACACCCCCAAACCUGAACGGCGGCAUCGUUCGGGGGCGGAGGACAUCAUAUUCAGUAUCAUAACAGUUCAUAGAAAGGAAAGUACACACCACCAUAAUAUAAAUAUGUUUGAAAAGUUUACAUGAUUGUAGGUGUUACAUGUUUGCAAAAGAAAUCAAAUAUAAAAUGGUGAUCCAAAAUAUGUUACUAACGCCAAUGCGUUAGUCUUCAGAAGUAGUUGCUACCUGGCUAGCGGUUUCCUGUGAAUACAAGUUAUUUCAAAGAAAAAGUGUCAACAUUUAAGUUGGUGAGUUCAUAAGUAGUGUUUUGAGAAGAUGUAUGCCAUUCGAAAGUGUUUGCAUGUUUUCCAGAAAAACCCUUAUUUUCUUAUAAAAGUAUGCAAUGCAUAUGAAUGUUCGUGAUGUAAAUUGCAACUAAUUGUACCGAGAAAAUCCCUUAUUUUCCUAUUAGUUGUUUGGUUUGUAUACAGGAAAAACCCUUAUUUCCCUGACAUAACUGGCAGUCUCUAAGACCGAAAAUCGCAAGCAAGCGACGUGCUUGUAAGUUGUGUCAUAGUUUUACAUAGUAAAGCUAUACGAAGAUCGCACUUAUUAGAUGAAGAAUAGUUUUAAUGACUACUCGUUCAUAAAAGCAUAAUACCAUAAUAAUUGUAUAUCCGAUGAGUUUUAUAACCAUACUAAACAUAAUAUGCCUGUAGCGACGUUCUUCAGGCGUCGUAGCGUUAUGACAACUGUCACCCCAAAAGACGGACUGUAGCUAACAGUCAGGGCGCGGGAUCAUGACUUCCCGUAUAGAUCUAUACACAUUUGACACGUUCUCCGAACGGGAGACUCUGGUUAUAGACAGGACUUGUAGCAUUAUUUUCUAAUAAAGAAAGUAACGUUUGAAGAUAUACACGACUCAUGGAUUCUCAACUAAGUCUGUAAUAAGGUAGUAGUUUGUAUGCAAAGUUUAACCUCUUUCACAAUGUUUGACAAAGCAUAAUCAUAAGUUCUUUGAAUGCAUGAAAUGACUUAGUAAAGAAUGUUACCCUUGAUAUGAUGUGUUUGUAUGUAAACGUAUAAAUAAAACAUAUUUCUAUUUAUAAACAUAUUAUAUCCCAAAGAGGGUAAAGCUGUGUUGUGAGGGGUUUUGUAUCAUAAUAACUUCACAAGAUAGUUAAAACAACAGUAUGAAAAGUAUAUCAAAAGGUUAAUGUUUCACACGAAUUUAGUCAUGUGUUAACUUGUAUUCCUCCCCAAAAAGAGUAUAAAACAUUUAAAAUGUAUUUAAAGAGUGUUCAAAGGGGAUAUGAACUCACUUGAUAGUUUGAAGAUUGUGAGGUGGAAAACCGAGCAGAGUUUCGUCUCGGGAAACUGAUUUUUCUUGGGAUUCUCGGGAAUCUCGGGAGUAGAAUCGGCCUUCGGGACUUGAGCCAAAAAGACCAGAGCUUCGGGUUUGAACGGACACGGAAAACGAGGAAAUGCUGAGAGAGAGAGAAGAGAAAUGAACCCUUUCUUUGGAAACCCUCGCAUUCUAUUUAUAGGAAGGCAAGUCUGCCUCGGUACGCGGGGCGUACGCUCGUACGCGCUGCGUACGCGUACGUCAUGCAUGACCGAAGCCUCGACUGCCUCGGUUCGGAUGGGACGGGUUCUUGGGUUAUCGGGUCGGAUGGGACGGGUUGCUGGGGAGGUGGGUCGGAUGGGACGCCGGGUCGGAUGGGACGUCGGGUCGGACGGGUCGGACGGGUCGGCUUCCUCGGAUAUGGCGACGUGGACGAUCCGAGGCCAAUCCUCUCGGUUACGCGGGGCGUACAGGAGUACGCAGCGCGUACUUCGGAGAAGGACGCUGACUCCUCUUCGGAUAAUAUCCGAAUUUUGAAUUAAAUAAAUAAUUAAUUUAUUUAAUAAACUUCAAAAAUCCAUAUCUUCUUCAUACGAACUCCGUUUUCGAUGGUCUUUAUAUCCACGCGUAGGUGAGACUACGAUCUACAACUUUCGUUUAGACUCCGUUGGCAAAUUCCAAAAUUAUUUUUAUUAUUUAUUUUAUAACUAAUCGUUUUUAAGGAAUUUCUUUGAAAAAUCAUAACUUCCUCAUGCGAAGUCAGAUUUGGACGUUCUUUUUGUGUACGCUCACGGUUUAAUGUUAUCUAUGACUUUCAUUUAGAUACCUAAGGCUAAAUGUUAUCGUAUUGAAACUUUGCGUUUUUCGUUUGAUCGGUGUUGUCGGUUUUGACAGAAAUCUUAGAAUGGUCAUAGCUUCUUCGCCAUAACUCAGAUUUUAGUGUUUCUUUAUUUAUUUGGAACCUUUAAGACGAUAUCUACUACAUAGCGUACUCCAAAUCAGAGCUUUUGAACAAUUCAUUUAUCGAUGAUAUUCCCAUUACAUUCAAAAGGGGUUACAAGACUCGGUUUAUAAUGCCCGGGAUAACGGGUUGUUACAUCAUCCCCCCGUUAAACGGAAUUUCGUCCCGAAAUUUAAUACAAGGUAAGAGUUUUAGGGGCUGAGGAAGAGAUGCGGAUACUUCUGUAGCAUUUGGUCUUCCCGUUCCCAUGUGAAUUCGGGUCCUCUCUUAGCAUUCCAUCGAACUUUUACUAUUGGAAUGCGACUCUGCUUGGUCCUUUUAACUUCCCUAUCCAUGAUCUCGACGGGUUCUUCCACAAAGUUGAGAUUUUCGUUUAACGCGAUUUCAUCGAGUGGAAUUACAAGUGUUUCGUCGGACAAACACUUUUUCAGGUUCGACACGUGGAAUACUGGAUGCACUUUGUUAAGCUCGAUUGGAAGUUGGAGUUUGUAGGCCACUGGACCAACUCUCGAAAUGAUUUCGAAGGGUCCAAUGUACCUGGGAUUUAGCUUUCCACGCUUCCCAAAGCGUAUCAUGCCUUUCCAGGGUGAGACCUUCAGUAGCACACGGUCGCCAAUCUGGAAUUCCAAGGGUUUACGUCUCCUGUCGGCAUAGCUCUUUUGCCUAUCCCUUGAGGACUUCAGUCGUUCUCGUAUUUGCACGAUCUUUUCGGUAGUUUCUCUGAUGAUCUCUGGACCAGUAAGGGUGCUUUUAGUGACUAGACCUUUUGCCAAUUGGGUGUCGCCCACUUCCGUCCAGCACAGGGGUGAUCUGCACUUACGGCCGUAAAGGGCUUCGAACGGAGCGGUCUUGAUACUAGUAUGAUAACUAUUGUUAUAAGAGAACUCGACCAAAGGCAAGUGAAUAUCCCAUGCCUUGCCAAAGUCGAUUACACAUGCUCGCAACAUGUCUUCCAAGGUUUGGAUCGUCCUCUCACUCUGUCCGUCAGUUUGAGGGUGGUAUGCUGUACUCAUGUCCAACCUUGUUCCCAUGGAUUUUUGCAGUGAUUGCCAAAAUCUGGAAGUGAACCUGCUGUCUCUAUCUGAGAUGAUGGACAUUGGUACUCCAUGAAGUCGUACGAUCUCCCGGAUGUAGGUUCUUGAUAGUUUUUCCAUCCUAUCGGUUUCCUUGAUAGGUAAGAAAUGGGCUGACUUGGUUAAUCUGUCGACGAUUACCCAAAUAGUAUCUUGGCCACUCUGAGUUUUGGGCAGUUUGGUUAUGAAGUCCAUGGAAAUCUGCUCCCAUUUCCACUCAGGUAUUUCAGGUUGUUGGAGUAGGCCUGAGGGUUUUUGGUGUUCUAUUUUUAUUUUGGCGCAAGUUAAACACUUGCCCACAUACGUAGCGAUCUCCGCUUUCAUGUUUGGCCACCAGUAGAGUUGCUUGAGAUCUAGAUACAUCUUGUCUGACCCUGGGUGUACGGAGUAUGGGGUCCUGUGUGCCUCGCUCAUAACUACCUCUCUGAAUCCCCCAAACUUUGGUGUCCAGAUCCGGUUCAUGAGGUAGCGUGCUCCGUCACUCUUGAUUUCUAAGUUCUUGUCCAUUCCCCUAAGGGCCUCACCUGCCACGUUUUCGGGUUUCAAGGCCUCUAAUUGAGCUUCCUUGACUUGCGUUGAUAGGUGCGAAUGGAUCGACAUAGCUAAUGACUUCACUCUCCGGCCUGAGUACUCCUUUCGACUAAGGGCAUCGGCUACGACGUUUGCCUUUCCCGGAUGAUAGCGAAUAUCGCAUUCGUAAUCACUGAGUAGCUCGACCCAUCGCCGUUGUCUCAUGUUGAGCUCCUUCUGAUCGAAAAUGUGUUGUAAGCUCUUGUGGUCGGUAAAGAUAGUGCUCUUCGUUCCAUACAAGUAAUGUCUCCAGAUCUUCAGGGCAAACACUACUGCUCCUAGCUCAAGAUCGUGGGUCGUGUAGUUAACCUCAUGUGUUUUCAACUGUCUCGAGGCGUAGGCGAUGACCUUACCUCGCUGCAUCAGAACACAUCCGAGUCCUUGGUUUGAUGCAUCGCAAUAAACUACGAAGUCUUCUAUUCCUUCGGGAAGGGAUAGUAUUGGUGCGGUGCACAAGGCUCGUUUGAGCGUUUGGAACGCUCUUUCUUGUUUCUCUUCCCAGUCAAAGGCCACACCUUUCUGGGUUAGGGUUGUAAGAGGCUUCGCUAUUCGUGAGAAGUUCUGAAUGAACCUGCGGUAGUAGCCAGCGAGACCUAGAAAUUGGCGAAUUUCUGUAGGAGUCUUCGGUGCUGACCAGUUCUCAAUGGCCUUAAUUUUGGAUGGGUCCACGUGGAUUCCCUCUUCGCUUACCACGUGUCCUAAGAAUUCGACUCUUCGGAUCCAAAAUUCACAUUUCGAGAACUUCGCAUAAAGUUUCUCUUUUCGUAAUAUCCCUAGAACUUGUCGCAGAUGAUCGCCAUGUUCUUUCUUACUUCGGGAGUAGAUCAGGAUGUCGUCAAUGAAAACGAUGACGAACUGAUCCAAGUAAGGUCGGCAUACUCUAUUCAUCAGAUCCAUGAAGACUGCGGGCGCAUUGGUCAAUCCGAAUGGCAUCACCACGAACUCGUAAUGUCCGUAACGAGUUCGGAAGGCGGUCUUCGGCACAUCCUCCUCUAGCACUCGUAACUGGUGAUACCCGGAUCUCAGAUCAAUCUUAGAAAAAUAGUUCGCCCCUUGCAGUUGGUCGAAUAGAUCAUCUAUGCGCGGUAGAGGAUAACGAUUCUUGACCGUCAGUUUGUUGAGUUCUCUGUAGUCGAUGCACAUUCUGAACGAUCCAUCUUUCUUUUUCACAAACAACACGGGUGCUCCCCAUGGUGAGAAGCUCGGUCUGAUGAAUCCUUUUCCCAGUAGUUCAUUCAGUUGACUGGAUAGCUCCUGCAUCUCUGCCGGGGCUAAUCGAUAGGGUGCUUUGGCUACUGGGGUAGCUCCGGGAAUCAGAUCGAUUCUGAAUUCGACUUGUCUUACGGGUGGUAUCCCUGGAAGGUCCUCGGGAAACACAUCGGGAAAAUCGCAUACGUCGGGCACAUCCUUGAUGUCCCGGACUUCGCGUUUCACGUCUACAACAUGUGCAAGAAAUGCGUGACACUCCUUUCGUAAGUGCUUCUGAGCUUGGAUACUUGAGAUGAUUCUAAGAGUGGUACUAGGUUUGUCGCCCAAGACAAGGAAGGUUUCGCCGGUUGGCAGAUUAAGGCGAACGGCCUUAUCGUAACAUAGAAUGUCCGCACGAUGUGAACUCAGCCAAUCCAUGCCAAUGAUGACAUCGAAACUCUUAAUCGAGACUGGCAUGAGGUUGAUUUGAAAGGGAUUAUCGUUUAGAGUUAGGGUGCAGUUUAAGUAUAUCUCUUUAGUGCCUUCAGUUUUCCCGUUGGCCAUUUCUACUAUGAACGGUUCACUUAAUGAUUGUGGUAUUGGUUUUAGCAUGCUUUUAAAGUCGUGACUCACAAAACUCCUUUCCGCUCCACUAUCAAACAAAAUGCAUGCAUACGAGUUAUCGAGAAGAAACGUACCCGUAACAACAGUAGGGUCCGCAAUGGCUUCAUCUUGUCCCAUUGCGAAAACUCGGCCUCUUCCGCCGGUAUUCCUGUUGUUUGCCUUCGGGCAGUCCUUGCGGUAGUGCCCUGUGCUCCCGCACUCAAAGCAAGCGCGGCUUACUCCGGUAUUAGCAGUGGGGGCGGAUUGUUGGGUUGGCUCCUUGCAAUAGCGGGCUGUAUGACCCUUCUUAUUGCACCUGGUGCAUUGAAGGCCAUGACAGAGACCGUGAUGGUGGAAGUUGCACUGGUUACAUUUCGGUAGCUUUCCAUUGUAUGAACUUGUGGGGGCAGAGUUGGUAGGUACAGUAAUAGCGUGGGUCGCUAUCACUUGUUGUUUCUUGGGGUUCUCCUGGAGGAUUUGUCCCCUCCUCUUGUUCCAAGGCCUACUCUGUCCCUGAGCCUCCCUAGGUGGAUUUGCGGCUGUUGUGAUGGUACUCUGUUUCGCUCCGUGAUCGAUGAGUCGUUGCGCCAGGCGUUUAGCGCUGUUGUAGGUGAUAGGGUUGGAGGCUAGGACAUGCCCUUGAAUCUGGGGUGACAACCCCCAAAUGUACCUUUCGACCUUCUUUGAUUCUGGGUUGACCAUGGUAGGGCACAAAGCAGCGAGAUCGUUGAACCUAGCUGUGUAAGCGACUAGGUCAGACCCGACCAUUUUCAAAUUCCAGAGUUCCUGCUCAAGCUUUUGCACUUCACCCCUUGGGCAGUAUUCUUCCAGUAGUAGUACCUUCAGUUCUUCCCAACUCAUGGCGUUAGCGACAGUGAGCGUCACUGAGUUCACAUGGCUUUUCCACCAAGUGAGGGCUCGAUCUAUGAAGGUGCAAGCAGCGAACUUAACCUUGCUUGUUUCUUGGCACGAGCAGAUCUCGAAGACCGUUUCGGUCUUUUCGAACCAUUGCAUUAGUGCAAUGACUCCUCCUGUUCCAUUAAAAGUUUUUGGUUUAGCGUUAGAGAACUCCUUGUAGGUACAUUCUCUUCCUUGGCCAUGACCAGUGCCAUGAUUUGGAUGAUUCGUGCUGCUUCCCGCCCCUCCAUUCCCUUGAGAGUUUAUUUGCGAGAGGGCUGCGGUUACCGCUGCUGUGAUAGCAGCCUGAACCAUGGCCGGAUCAUAAGCUGGUGGUGGAGGUGGUGGUGGUGCCGUGCCCGGCCUGGGCCUUAAGUUUGGACGAGGAGGCAUCUUGCUGCCAAAAGAAAAAUAUGGAAGAAAAUUAUAAGUUUUGGCAGUUCAAAGUUGAAUGAUAUUGAGUUAACUGCCUUAAAUAGAUUAAGAAUUUGGUUUGAUCAACAAUGGGUUUUGAGCUUGAUUUAUUAAUAACGUUUGAAUGGAUGCACUUAUGAGUUGAACGGAAUACACAUAUUUAAAAUCAGAGAAGGGGGGGAUGCCCCAUAUAUAUAAAACAUAUAGUCGUGUUACAUCCGAGUUUAGACAAAACUUUUUGACCUUUCUAAAGGUCUCCGAUUACAGAAAGUUUUAACGAAAAGGAAAUUCUUAUCCGAAGUCCUAAUUUAUAACAAAAUUUGAAAUCCUGGCAGGCACUACUUGCGACGUAGGUUGCGCUUGGAGCUUGACUCCGCAUCUGAUUGCUUCGAUUCCAUUAGGCGUCGAUCAAAAGCGGCUUGUUGCUCCCUUAACUCGGCUAGGGCUGCAAUUAUCUGUGCCUGAAAUGCCUCAGACUGGAGUUGGACAUUAUCUUGUAUCUUGUCCAGUCUACGGAUAUCGGAAGUGUGAACCUGCACUUCCACGUUGAUAUCCCGGAGUCGGCUUGCUUGUACUCCGGACUGAUAGGACUGAUUGGCUAACUUACCAACCAUUACCGGGAGUGCUCGAUCAGCCGAACUGCCACCGCGGACAUCGUAGAAGUCCCGACACAUGCCGUAGGGAGGGCGUAUGCCUUGUUGUUGGCUCCAAUGAUGUAGGUGACUUCCCCAGACGGGAGUGGGUCCUUGGAAGUUCCUCACAUGGACAGGAGGUUGAAUGGGUGGUGGAUCGAUCACUUCAGGUUCUGAGUCAGUACCGGAGUCAUCACCCAAUUCUAUGGGUUCCUCAUCCUCUUCUGGAUCAUCUUCGAUCCAUCCUCCGUUGCCUUGGUUGGGAAAGUAGGGGUCAUUGGGGUGGUGAAAUCCAGCCAUUUGACUGUACGAGAAAUAGGGUCAUAAGAAUUGAAUAAAGUCGGAACAUGCAAAACAUGUAAGUUAGUUUAAAUAGCAAUUACUCCUAUAGCAUUUAAAUUAUUGUGUUUGAUUCUAAUAACGGUUUGGUAAGUUUUUAAAAUUUGUUGUCCACUGCAGACACCCCUCGGCACACGUUAGUCGGCUCUCGGACAAAUAUAGUUGAUCAGGCUAUAUCCUUCCCAGUUCCGAUUACAUGUCCCAAGGCGUACCUGUACUGCACAACUCAUUAAUAAUACUUCUAAUAUGGUACGAUGUGGAACUGUUAUUUAUUACUAAAUGAAUGCAUGCUUACUUACAAAAACUAAAUAGAUUUAAUUUCAAAAGCAUGACUCUUCUCAGAGUGUUUUUGCCCAGUUGAGUUUAUAGUUGUAUAAAAAAAAAGGUUUUGAUAUACUUAAUUCACUAUAAACGAAGCUCUGAUACCAAUCUGUCACACCCCCAAACCAGAACGGCGGAAUCGUUCGGGGGCGGAGGACGUCAUAUUCAGUAUCAUAACAGUUCAUAGAAAGGAAAGUACACACCACCAUAAUAUAAAUAUGUUUGAAAAGUUUACAUGAUUGUAGGUGUUACAUGUUUGCAAAAGAAAUCAAAUAUAAAAUGGUGAUCCAAAAUAUGUUACUAACGCCAAUGCGUUAGUCUUCAGAAGUAGUUGCUACCUGGCUAGCGGUUUCCUGUGAAUACAAGUUAUUUCAAAGAAAAAGUGUCAACAUUUAAGUUGGUGAGUUCAUAAGUAGUGUUUUGAGAAGAUGUAUGCCAUUCGAAAGUGUUUGCAUGUUUUCCAGAAAAACCCUUAUUUUCUUAUAAAAGUAUGCAAUGCAUAUGAAUGUUCGUGAUGUAAAUUGCAACUAAUUGUACCGAGAAAAUCCCUUAUUUUCCUAUUAGUUGUUUGGUUUGUAUACAGGAAAAACCCUUAUUUCCCUGACAUAACUGGCAGUCUCUAAGACCGAAAAUCGCAAGCAAGCGACGUGCUUGUAAGUUGUGUCAUAGUUUUACAUAGUAAAGCUAUACGAAGAUCGCACUUAUUAGAUGAAGAAUAGUUUUAAUGACUACUCGUUCAUAAAAGCAUAAUACCAUAAUAAUUGUAUAUCCGAUGAGUUUUAUAACCAUACUAAACAUAAUAUGCCUGUAGCGACGUUCUUCAGGCGUCGUAGCGUUAUGACAACUGUCACCCCAAAAGACGGACUGUAGCUAACAGUCAGGGCGCGGGAUCAUGACUUCCCGUAUAGAUCUAUACACAUUUGACACGUUCUCCGAACGGGAGACUCUGGUUAUAGACAGGACUUGUAGCAUUAUUUUCUAAUAAAGAAAGUAACGUUUGAAGAUAUACACGACUCAUGGAUUCUCAACUAAGUCCGUAAUAAGGUAGUAGUUUGUAUGCAAAGUUUAACCUCUUUCACAAUGUUUGACAAAGCAUAAUCAUAAGUUCUUUGAAUGCAUGAAAUGACUUAGUAAAGAAUGUUACCCUUGAUAUGAUGUGUUUGUAUGUAAACGUAUAAAUAAAACAUAUUUCUAUUUAUAAACAUAUUAUAUCCCAAAGAGGGUAAAGCUGUGUUGUGAGGGGUUUUGUAUCAUAAUAACUUCACAAGAUAGUUAAAACAACAGUAUGAAAAGUAUAUCAAAAGGUUAAUGUUUCACACGAAUUUAGUCAUGUGUUAACUUGUAUUCCUCCCCAAAAAGAGUAUAAAACAUUUAAAAUGUAUUUAAAGAGUGUUCAAAGGGGAUAUGAACUCACUUGAUAGUUUGAAGAUUGUGAGGUGGAAAACCGAGCAGAGUUUCGUCUCGGGAAACUGAUUUUUCUUGGGAUUCUCGGGAAUCUCGGGAGUAGAAUCGGCCUUCGGGACUUGAGCCAAAAAGACCAGAGCUUCGGGUUUGAACGGACACGGAAAACGAGGAAAUGCUGAGAGAGAGAGAAGAGAAAUGAACCCUUUCUUUGGAAACCCUCGCAUUCUAUUUAUAGGAAGGCAAGUCUGCCUCGGUACGCGGGGCGUACGCUCGUACGCGCUGCGUACGCGUACGUCAUGCAUGACCGAAGCCUCGACUGCCUCGGUUCGGAUGGGACGGGUUCUUGGGUUAUCGGGUCGGAUGGGACGGGUUGCUGGGGAGGUGGGUCGGAUGGGACGCCGGGUCGGAUGGGACGUCGGGUCGGACGGGUCGGACGGGUCGGCUUCCUCGGAUAUGGCGACGUGGACGAUCCGAGGCCAAUCCUCUCGGUUACGCGGGGCGUACAGGAGUACGCAGCGCGUACUUCGGAGAAGGACGCUGACUCCUCUUCGGAUAAUAUCCGAAUUUUGAAUUAAAUAAAUAAUUAAUUUAUUUAAUAAACUUCAAAAAUCCAUAUCUUCUUCAUACGAACUCCGUUUUCGAUGGUCUUUAUAUCCACGCGUAGGUGAGACUACGAUCUACAACUUUCGUUUAGACUCCGUUGGCAAAUUCCAAAAUUAUUUUUAUUAUUUAUUUUAUAACUAAUCGUUUUUAAGGAAUUUCUUUGAAAAAUCAUAACUUCCUCAUGCGAAGUCAGAUUUGGACGUUCUUUUUGUGUACGCUCACGGUUUAAUGUUAUCUAUGACUUUCAUUUAGAUACCUAAGGCUAAAUGUUAUCGUAUUGAAACUUUGCGUUUUUCGUUUGAUCGGUGUUGUCGGUUUUGACAGAAAUCUUAGAAUGGUCAUAGCUUCUUCGCCAUAACUCAGAUUUUAGUGUUUCUUUAUUUAUUUGGAACCUUUAAGACGAUAUCUACUACAUAGCGUACUCCAAAUCAGAGCUUUUGAACAAUUCAUUUAUCGAUGAUAUUCCCAUUACAUUCAAAAGGGGUUACAAGACUCGGUUUAUAAUGCCCGGGAUAAUGGGUUGUUACACCUAUCUUGGGCCCCGCCCCUACUCUACUAAUAAUGAGAUAUGGAACCUCGUCCACACUCAGCUAGUGAUGAGAUACGGGCCCCUACCCACACUCACCUCCCUACCAGGCACAUACAAGUAUCACAAAGACAACAAGUAUAAGUAAACAUGCAUUCCUCCCCCAGGUACCGCCCGACAUCGAACCGUAGUUCGGAAACAUACGUAAUAACCUUCCUCGGGCCUCACCCAACAUCAGACCGAAAUCCAGAAACAUAUAAACUACAUCAGGCUAACCCCAACAUCGGAUCUAAAUCUGAUAUACAUUAACAUACAUAAACGGGCCGACAUUGGUUCCUUCGACCUGUUCCUACUAGAGAAAACUCACCUCACAAGUUGACUGCAGAAUCCCGCGAAAGAACCUCUCGCUGCAAGCUGGCAGAUCCCCAAACUGCUGAUCACUCGACUCCCCGAGCUAUCAUUACCAAAAUAAUACUUCGUCAAGAACUGAUAAUCCCUUUUAGGGUAAAAUAACCAUUUUACCCCUGGUCAAAUUCAAAGUCAACGCUUGGUCAAAUCAAAGUCAACACCCCGAGUUGACUCAACUCACCGAGUUCUACAAAUCAGAAUCCUGAAAUCGUGAUCAAACUCAUCGAGUCACCCCCCUAACUCGCCAAGUUCCCUGGCUACUCAUAGUCGCAAUUUGGCGAAUCAACUCGUCGAGUCCUUUCGCUGACUUGUCGAGUUCUACCUUAAACUGGAUCGGGACAUCACGACCCAACUCAUCGAGUUCCUCUAUGGACUCAAUGAGUCCCAUAGUCUGUUUGGGCCAUCUUAACAGAUUAAGCCUCUACUCUCCAGAUCAAAGCUCCAUACUCCUACAUACUGAAAGAGCCUUCUUAAGGGUAAAGUUUCUAACUUUACCCAGUACUUGUCCUUCUUAAUGGGUUUAGCUAAAACCCUAGUUCUUUGGGACAUAGAUCUUUGUCCAAAAAGCCAUAAUACUCUAAACUAAAGCAUACCAACAUAGAUCUAGGCCUUAAACAUCAUUUGAACACGUAAAGUCUCAGGCUUUCCUUCCAUGCAUGGCCUUUUGGGGCUUAAAAGGCCAUAACAACACCUUAAAGAUAAGCCACUUGGGACGUCCAUUUCCCAAGGGCUAAGCUUCUUGGACCAAAAACCCUCAUAAAGUGAAAUAAGGAGAUCUAAGAGACAACUAGACAAGUUAGAUGCUUCAUUACCAGAAAAGGAUGAGGAUGGGGUGUUGCUUAUGGAUCUACAAUCUUCUCUUGGAAUCCUCUAGCUUCUUCUUCUUCUUCUACAAGCUUCAAAUCACACAUGGUUCACUAAAAAAUGGCUCACAAGCAUUAGGGUUUGGACACUGGAGGCUGGAAAUGAGGCCAUAAGGUGGGGAUUAAGAUGCUUAAAUAGGAUACAAAACCCGGAAUCUAGGGUUUUCCAAACCCAGACCAACUCGUCGAUUUGGUCCUCCCCAAUUCAUCGAGUUGGUUUCUCAACCCACGUCCCAAAAGCUUAAUUCUACUGGUCGAGUUGUCCCCCUAUGACUCGACGAGUACACCUUCAAUUUGCAUAAUAUCUUUCUUGAAUUAACAUUCUGGUUUCUAGGUGUUACAAUUAUCCCCCACUUAAACUGGACUUCGUCCUCGAUGUCCGCUACAAUCACCUACCCUACAAAAAUCUUACGCGACACACACACACAACUCUUCUCCUACCUCUCCUAGACAACUGGUGUUUCUCACCGCCACCGACACUCACCAUCCUUGAAGUACUACUAUCAUCCUGUGCAAUCAAUGGCCUUCCCAAGGCAACUGAUCCCAACCAUCGAAACCUUCGAAGCCUGAUGAAAGAUCAUCCUUACUGUCAUAUGGAGAACUACUUCUGUCUUUCCGAGAUUAGAAAUCUAUAAUUGUCUGUCUCCCUGGUGGACCGCCUAUGCUCCAAAAACUACCAUGCCAAAACCUCAUCAAAUAAAUAUUCAACGAUAAAACUUCUCACCCUGAUUAUCUCGAUGCUACUAUCAAAAACAUAAUCCCUGUCCAUAACCAGCUGUAGAAUACUUAUACUUGACAGGAGGCUCAGAUAAUCCUUCGAGUAGGAGAUCCAUCCUUGAAACGUUUAGACUCAGAUGAGAGCUGUGCAACAAGGUCAAAUCAAUUACUUUGAGAUUAUCAAAUCCAACUGUAUGUGUCUUCGCUCUUCUGAUCCGCAAGCUACUCCACACACUAGAACCCUCAUAAUCACUACUUCUAUCUGAACACUACGCUGCGUCUUGCCUACCUUCCAAAGAAACCAGGACCUCCCAGAUCAAAACUUAUCUAUCCACUAUCUGGAAUACCGGAUUCCACCCGAUUACUGAACCAAUGACCACCCUCUCAUUCGCUCCUAGCGACUUUUGAAGAAAACUUCGACUAUCGAAACUGCUCUAUUCAUCUUGCCACUCGUGGCUCUAUAAACCAUAGAAUCUUCGAUCAUAUAUCUCGAACCCAUGGUCUCUUCCAGGUCCCACCUACCUUGACAUGAUCGCACGGGCCUCGCCCAUGGGUCUCACCCAAAUUGUACUACUAAGUGGCCUUGCCCCCAUGUCUUACCUAUCUAGGGCUACGCGAUACAACUCUCUCGAAUUCUAUCUACCUAUCAUUUCCAGAUUCUGAUCACACUAACUAGGAGAUAUGGGCCUCACCCAAACUCCACUGACGAGGAGAUACGAGCCCCCGCCCACACUCCACUAAUUAGCUGGUAAUGAAUGUUGCGGCUAACCCAAAUCUUACAACACUCUUCAUGCUAUCUGACUGCUAGUGAAUGCUACAACUAUCCCACAGUCUAAUAACACUUUCCACUUCGAUUAUGCAUACAACCUAACAUCCUGGCUGAAUUCACAUUCUAAUGGAAAUUUCCUCAACCUGAUCCCCAAAGCCAACUAUUUAAAUCCAAAAGAUACGUACCCCACGUUGAGAUGUUUCCCAAACUCCCAACUCACCUACUCCUCAUCCCAAUUAGCCCUUUGGGCUUUCUACCUUCCUGAUGAGAAUGCAAACUCGUCCUCAAUCCAUACUUCCCUCUGUUCCUGAACCCUUAGAGAACUCUCCCCCACUUUAGUUCAACUAACGUCUUACAGCACACCCGGCUGGAAAGAUCCCCAAUCCUUCGUAUCUCCAGUGAUCAAUCCUGCUGGAAACCAAUACUUACCAUUGUUAGUGUUCUCAAAACUAACUGACACUAAAGCAGUAAGACCCUUGAAGACUGUCAGAACACUUCCCUGGUUCUAAUCACACUUGGUACAACUAUCGCAUUAUGAGAAUCCAUUUUAUAUGGAGAUGUCCCCACACUACUACCCUAAUAUCCAUGGUAUGCAGAUGGCAUAUAAUCUAAACAUAAAUAGGAAUUAUAAUCCCAAGGUACAACUACUCAUAUGGAUGCGAGAAAAUAGAAAUAAAAUCAUACAUAAAGUUGAAAGAAAAGAAAAAGUUACACACUUGCAACAUCGGAAGCUGCUCCCUGCUCUUCGCCACAGGCGCCUGUGCCUGGCCUUGACGGCCGUCGGUGAUCCUCAAUGUGGCAUGUCCAGGUGCUAUCAAAUGUCCCACUAUAGCCAAACUUGGACAUUGGGCCUUCUUGUGGCCCUGCUGGCUGCAAUGGAAAUAGAUCAGGUCUGAUCCAUGGGUGGUUGUAGCAGUACAAUCCCUGCUAUAAUGACUGAUCCAGCUGCACUUUAAGCAACCAGAAUCACCACCACUACCACUCCUACACGCAUCAUCGUGUGCCCUACCGCACUUGCCACAAUGGCUACGGUCCUGGUGACUUCUCGAUCUUGAAUCUGAUGUCUUGGGCCUCUUGCCCGAUCUUGCGGAUGUCCGAACCUCGUCCAGCUUCCUUUUCAUGUCCGCCUCUAAGUCGAUCUCCCUCUUUUUAGCUCAAGCGAUCAUAUCCUCGAGCGUAUAGCUGGACUGGCUCACGAACUAUCUAAUGUCGCUCCGUAGCAUCUCAUGGUACCAAGCCAUCUUCAUCUCCUAGUCCGCCACAUACUGUGGAGAAAGAAGGGCUCUCUUUCUGGAUUUGGCGGUGGUCUCUGCCACCAUCUCUGUAGUCUGCUGGAGCUCCUAGAACUCCCGUGCUAACUGUUUCACCUCAAUAACUGGUGCAAAAUUGGCCGUGAACUUGGUCGAUAAGUCACUCAAUAACAACGCGUCUAACGCGAAAUCAUCUCCCGUAGCAUGUCCAACUUCUUCCCACCAAUUACGUGCUCUGUCCUUCAGAAUACAGGAGGCGAGUUAGACCUUGUCCCCCUCGAGACAUCGGCUAGAACUGAAGGCGUUGGCGACAUCUACCAACCAUCGACUGCUAGCAAUGGGAUCCUUAGCCCCAUGAUAGUCUGGAGCUCCACAGGCUCUGAACUCCCUGAACGUCAAUGUGUGCGCCCCCAUCAUGGCCACCAUAUCGAUGCGGAACACACCCAAUCUCUCGUAUAAAAUCUCCAUAAUGCCCUCCUUGACCGUACCAAAGAUCAUAGGAGUCUGGUCUAAAAUACUACGCGUAAUCUCAGCUGAAACAAACUCUCUCAUCUGCUCAUCGAGCUGCCAAGCUCCAGAUCCUGAGGCUGAUCCCUCACCGGCACCUGAACUGCCCACUGGUCUACCACUUAGUGUUACCAUGCUACAACAUAUCAUAACAACCAUCAGAGUACUCAUCACUAUCAAGGGAUCACACACACACACACACUACAGGUUUCCUAGCUUUAUCUCAGCCCACCUUGGCUCGAGUGUGGAUCUUCUGCUUUUAGUAGUACAUGCCCAUACUACCCUCCACAUGUAUCUGUACUCUCCUCAAGGUUGCAUUGACUCCACCAAGUCCCUUCAACUACUACUACUCCCAACACUAAAAUCAUCCUACGCAUUCCCUAGGGUAAUCACCAUCCCUCUAUCCGCCAUCAUUUGCAUAAGAAGUCUCUGCUAUCUCCCCAUAACUAGCUCGCGAAUACCAUUACAUAUCACUAAGACUAGAUAAUUUUUCGAAUGAGAGAUCCUAGCCUACAACGAUUGGACUCAAAGAAGAGUUUCGAAAUAGAGAUAGACCUAACCUUCUGAAAUUAUUUAGUCCUUGCAAUAUGUAACUUAACAUAUUCAUUUACUAGUUAGUAAAAGAUAACUAAGACUCCUAAAAGCACAAAGCAAGCAACAUUCGAGCAUCGAGUAAACAUAAUAAUGCAUAUCCUAAUCAGGCCAUCAUAUUACUGACUAAACUGUACCAGCAUGCAGUUCAUAAGCUCAUACACAUAUAAUACGCACAUAAGGCAUCCUUCCUAGCUCUUUAGCCCUAAUCUAGCAUGCAGUUCUCAUAAGCAUAUCAUAACAUAAACUUGUAUGGGUAAUUUGGAAGUACUUACUUGAGCUCGGCUGAUUGCAUGCACCAUAUCCUUUUCUCUUUUAACAAAAUUCCUUUCUCUUUUCAACAUUCUUUUUAUAAAAAUGAUUUUCUUUUGAAAAUUUCUAUAUCGAUUCCUUAGUUUGAGUUCAGAUACACCUGAGAAUGUUCCUGAAUACCUUAAACCAGGGCUCUGAUACCAACUUGAAACAUCCCAAAAAUAAGGACCAAAAAUAUUGUUUUAAAUCAUUUAAGAAAACCAUAAUUCAUCAAAAAUCAUAAUAAUAAAAUCACAAGUCAUGUUUCUUAAAACAUCGUAUCAAUAAUACUACAUCAAAUCACGUGUUAGAAUAUCAGAGUCUAAACAUCCCAGGCUAAAAGUUGUGGUGUGUGCCAUGCAGUCAUCCCAAGCUCUUCCCCUGGUUAGUGGAGGUACCUGAAACCAAAACUGAAAACUGUAAGCAUGAAGCUUAGUGAGUCUCCCCAAGCUACCACAUAUCAUACACAUAAGCACAUAUCAACAUACAUUGGGCCUAGCCCGCUACCUCGGUCCCCGCCCAACAUCGGACGAAUCUGACACUAGGCCCCGUCAGGCAUCAAGCCUCGCUCAGUAUACAGAUCUGUUUCUACUAGGACCUGCCUGUCUUUGGGCCCCGACCUCUAUUCACAUACAAAGAAUAACAUAUAAUCAUGCUAGUACUUAAUAGACAAACACAACACGAUAACUGCUAGUCUCAAUUCCCCGCCUAUCUUGGGCCCCACCCUUACUCUGCUAAUAAUGAGAUAUGGAACCCCGUCCACACUAAACCAGUGAUGAGAUAUGGGCCCCCACCCACACUCACCUCCCUAUCAGGCACAUACAAGUAUCAAAAAUACAACAAGUAUAACUAAACAUGCAUUCCUUCCACGGGUACCACCCGACAUCUAACCAUAGUUCAGAAACGUACGUAAUAGCCUUCCUCGUGCCUCGCCCGACAUCAGACCGAAAUCCAGAAACAUAUAAACUACAUUGGGCUAACCCCGACAUUGGAUCUAAAUGUUGUAUACACUAACAUACAUAAACAGGUUGACAUUGGUGCCUACGACCCGUUCCUACUAGAGAAAACUCACCUCACAAGCUGACUGCAGAAUCACGCGAAUAAACCUCUCGCUGGUAGCUAGCAGAUCCCCGAACUGCUGAUCACUCGACUUCCCGAGCUAACAUUACCAACAUAAUACUUAGUCAAGAAAUGAUAAUCCUUAUUAGGGUAAAAUCACCAUUUUACCCCUAGUUAAAGUCAAAGUCAACGCUUGGUCAAAGUCAAAGUCAACACCCCGAGUUGACUCAACUCGCCGAGUUGCUCCAUCAAUUCACCGAGUUCUAUAAAUCAGAAUCCUGAUAUCGUGAUCCAACUCAUUGAGUCACCCCUUGACUUGCCGAGUUCCCUGGCUACUCAUAGUCAUGAUUUGGCGAAUCAACUUGUCGAGUUCCUUCACAGACUCGUUGAGUUCUACCUUAAACUGGAUCGGGACAUCACGACCCUACUCAUCGAGUUACUCUACGGACUCGACGAGUCCUAUAAUCUGUUUGGGCCAUCUUAACAAACUAAGCCUCUACUCUCCAUACCAAAGCUCCAUACUCCUUCUACAUACUGAAAGAACCUUCUUAAGGGUAAAGUUUCAAACUUUACCCGGUUCUAGUCCUCCUUAAUGGGUUUAGCUAAAACCCUAGUUCUUUGGGACAUAGAUCUUUGUCCAAAAAGCCAUGAUACUCCAAGCUAAAGCAAACCAACAUAGAUCUAGGCCUUAAACAUCAUUUCAACACAUAAAGUCUCAUGCUUUCCUUCCAUUCAUGGCCUUUUAGGGCUUAAAAGGCCAUAACAACACCUUAAAGAUUGCAUGGGGCUUCCAUGGUCAUAAAGUUUGAACCUUUAUGCCAUGAAACCCCUUUUAGAUCCCAGAUGUGAAAGAUAAGCCACUUGGGACGUCCAUUUCCCAAGGGCUAAGCUUCUUGGACCAAAAACUCUCACAAAGUGUAAUAAAGAGAUCUAAGAGACUACUAGACAAGUUAGAUGCUUCAUUACCAGAAAAGGAUGAGGAUAGGAUGUUGCUUCUGGAUUUAUAAUCUUCUCUUGGAAUGCUCUAGCUUCUUCUUCUUCUUCUUCUUCUACAAGCUUCAAAUCACACAAGGUUCACUCAAAAAUGGCUCACAAGCAUUAGGGUUUCGUGGAUUAGGGUUUAGACACCGGAGGCUGGAAAUGAGGCCAUAAAGUGGGGAUUAAGAUGCUUAAAUAGGGUACAAAACCCUGAAUCUAGGGUUUCCCGAACCCAGACUAACUCUUCGAGUUGUUUUCUCAACCCGCAUCCCAAAAGCUUAAUUCUACUCGUCGAGUUGUGCCCCUAGGACUCGACGAGUAGACCUUCAAUUCGCACAAUAUCUUUGCUUAAUUAGCCUUCUAGUUUCUAGGUGUUAUAAAUCCCAGAUAAAUGUCUUGUAAUAUCCUACAAGACCCAGGAAACUCCGAAUGUCAGAUGGGGUUCUCAGAACCUCCCAUCGCAUCACGGCCUCAAUCUUGGCGGGGUCAACCAAUAUGCCUUCUGGUUGACGAUCUGCCCCAAGAACCACACCUCUCGCAACCAAAAAUUUUAUUUGGAGAAUUUGGCAUACAACCUCUCCCUUCCCAGAGUCUCCAAUACCUCCCGUAAAUGAUCCUCAUGUUGCUCUUUGGUCUUGGAGUAGACCAUAAUAUCAUCAAUAAACAUGAUCACUGACCGAUCCAAUAUCGGUUUGCAUACCUGGUUCUUGAGAUCCAUGAACGUUGCUGGCAUGUUGGUGAGCCCAAAUGGAAUCACCAUGAACUCGUAGUGGCCAUAACAAAUCAUGAAGGCUGUCUUCUGCACAUCAUCGUCUCUAACCCUCAUUUGAUGGUAACCUGAUCGCAAAUCAAUCUUGGAAAACCAAGAUGCACCCUGAAGCUGGUCAAAUAAGUUGUCGAUCCUUAGGAAUGGGUAACGAUUCUUCAUCAUUAGCUUAUUCAACUCCAGAUAGUUAAUAUGCAUCCUGUGCGAGCCGUCCUUCUUCUUCGCGAACAUGAUCGGUGCUCCCCAAGGUGAGCUCCUCGGCCGAGUAAAUCAUUUGUCUAGCAGCUCUUGAAGCUGCAUAGACAACUCCUGCAUCUCUGGCGGUAACAAACGAUACGGUGCCUUGGCUAUUGGGGCCGCACCAAGAACUAAAUCAAUCCAAAACUCGACCUAACUUUUGGGAGGCACUCCUGGAAAAUCCUCAGGAAACACAUCGAGGAAAUCUCGAACUGUGGACACCUCACUGAAUGUGGUUGUGCCCCUAACCUGAGUAUCUACCACAUAAGCCAGAAACCUAGAAAAACCCUGUUGAAGAUAUCUCCUGGCCCUCGCAGCUGAACAGAGAGCCGGCCCAUGCAAAGCUCCAUCCCCAGGAGUAUCCAACUCUCCCCUACUUGGCGUUCGAACUCUCAUCAGCUGGCGUUUACAAUCAAUCAGGGCCCUAUUGGGACCCCACUAGUCCAUCCUGAUGAUAACCUUCGAUCCCCAUAGAGGAGUCGACACCAAAUCAAUAGUGUACUUCUCGUUGAACAGGUUUAGGACACAACCACUAUGAACUCUCAAACACUACAAGAAAAAUACCCUUUAGUGACAAGCGAACAAUGACACGCAUUGAUUUACGAUAAGCAUUUUUUGUGUGUCCUAAAAAAAUGUCAUCCUUCCAAAUUUUGAAGGAUAGAGGGCACACAUUUAUGCAUGCCCUAAAAUUAUUGUCCCACAAAAAAAUUACAAACAUGGAAGGCGCUUAUUUUAAAUGUGCGUCCUCUGUGAAUGUCACUUAAUAUUUUUUUACUCAGAACGCACAUUCUUAAAGGAAAUGAAAUCCUCUAAAAUUCUAAUUUUGAAAUACAACGGUUCAAGAUAUCCCUUCAUUCUCUUCUUCCCCUCUCUCUACAAACCCUAAUCAUGAUACCAUCUCUACUUCAAGGCAUGUACGUGACCUUAUAUUUCUCCACUGCCUUCAACAUGUUCUCGAAAUUAAAUCUCUCCAUGAUAACCAGUGUCUCUCCAGCCGAUGAUGGAUAACUAAAGUAUCCUCGUCGUAUUGGACUACUAUACAUAUCCGCUUCAAGAUAUUCCAUCUCUUCUUCAAAGUACAAACCUUAUUCAACAUAUGCAACAUAUGCUGGCUCUCACAUACGUACACACACUUAUGACUACCUCUCUCUCUCUCUCCAUAUCUCUAUCUAUCUCUCUCUCUCUCUCUCUCUCUCACACACACACCCAGAAAAUUGAAGGGACGAUUCUAGGGCUUUUUUCAAGAACCAUUCAAAAUGUAAAAGAGUACUCUCUAUAAUAGUUUGGCAACGUCGGCUCAUCUCACCUCGUCGACGAUUGCGACUCCUUGAAGAUUUAGGGUUGUGCUCGGUGAUUCUCAACGAAAGCGAUUCAGGCCUCACUCCUCUAUUAUAGUGAUUUAGGAUUUUUUGGUACAAGGUAUCGACUAAGACACCAACGACUUAGGGUUUUUUCAUAAAAGAUGUGUAUUUGCACUUCAAUUGCUCUAAUGACGAAUCCACAAUGUUGGGUUUUGAAAAUGUAAAACAAAGGUAAUGUUUGUUUCUUUUUGAGUUCAUAUAAAGAGAAUUUUUUUGAGUUCAUAUAAAGAGAAGAAUAGUUGAUUUUCUUGCAACCAUGCUCUAUUUCUGUUACUCUCUCAACUAUGAAUUCGCUGACAAUCUCUGUGAAAUCAAAGGGUAAUAGUGUAAUUAUUGACUUAUCUCUUGUUCUUUUUCAUAACCAGUUGUUUUUUUUUGUUUUGUGUAGCUUUCGUUCGAGGACUACCAUAAUAUGCUUCAUGGAUACAAUUAUUCAAAUUAAAAACCUUCUUCGAAAAGAGACAUAUUUAGCAACAAAAACGCCAGCUGAAGCUUCUGAUUAGAGCCUCACGGCUGGAAUUCUACACAGUUUUUCAAAAAUAAAAAGUUAGAAAAAGGAUCAUGGAAAAUAUAUUUGAUGAAUCAUGAUGAAACUAGUAUGAAUUAAUUACUUACUUUCCAUUUAGAGAAUAACAACACCAAGCUGUAGGUGUGAACAAUUGUUUCAUAAUUUUCUGGUGUGUUUUUAGAGGAGAUGGAUGUUGUCUAGAUUGAAGAUAAAGGUACAGAGAUUUGGUAACUAAUGAGGCGAAGUGUAACCGAUUCAUGUUAAAAGAAAUAUAAAAUUUAAUAUGAAAAUGAAAAUGAGAAAAAGAAAGAAAGAAUGGAAGGAAGUAAGGAAGUAUACAAUAUCAUUGUUUGCAACUGCUACUGAAGUAGACGAAGAUCUCAUGCUAUACAUUCAGCUAUAAGUUGACUUGAUCUUAUUCAUGACCCCAACAUUAUUGGAUUUUUGAUCUCCUUUAUUGGAAGCAAGCUGCUUCUCCUUUUGCAUUUUCCGAAAGAGGGAAGCUGAAGAAGAAAACACAAAAACACUUCAAGAAAGUGACCUUGGAACAAUUUCAGCUCUUUUUGGAUCAUCCAAAUCCAUGGCUGGACUUGUAUGAGGACAAACAGAUGAUGGAACAAGAACCGUUACUAACAAACCUUUCAAAUUUCAAAACGUCAAUUCAGACCCCUGGAUUCCAUUAUUCAAAUUCAAAACCUCUAUCAAGCUAUCUCUCUUUUGCUUUACCAAAGGUCAAAAUCUCUUGGUCUCAUUGAUUCAAUAUUGUAACACCUGGUUCUGAAAGUGCUUCGUUGCUAGGGGAUGUGGCCCAAUCAUCAGUUGUCAUGAGGUUAAGGCCUUGGGAAAGGAAGGUUUUGGCCCAUUUCGGAUGUGAGUAUUAGGGCAUACAAGAUCUAAGUAUUUGAUUGUGCCUUCAGAGGCCAAGGGCAUACUCGUAAAUUGACAUCUCAGUCUUCUGAAGAUUUCGGGCUGUUGUUCGGGAAAUUUUAGGUAACGAGGAGUUUCUCGCAGCGUAGGGUUUCUCGCCACCUUUUCGUAGAUAUAAAUUUAGUCAGAAACGGAUUAAGAAUGAAGAAGUUAUAGCACUUGGAAGUUAUUGGUAAUUUUACUCCUUAAUGAAGAUUUGUGGCAAGGUGGUCCUAUGCAUGCAUUGAAUGCAUGCGUCUGUCUAGCUGGGUAUGCCCAACAUAAUCUAGGUUACACUUAACUUAUAAGGGCAUAUGGUCAUGGCUGCGGAGAGGCGUACACCCAACUCAUGAGAAGUACACCUAUCGUACGUCCAGAGUCCCUAAACCCUAAAUUUUAGGGUAUGCCACCAUAUAAAGAACAUUAUACCCUCAAUUUCAACCUCCUUCUCACCCUUAGAUAGUUUUCAUGAAACCCUAAUCUUCUUUGAGUAUUUUUGGAGCUAAGAAGGCCAUUAGAGAUCAUUUUGGUGUUGUGGACCCAUUUUCCAAGCAAGUGAAGAGCAAACAAGGUGGUGGUUCAAAAGAGAGGUUGUAGAUCUGUGAUUGUUGCUUCAUUUCUAACCAUUUCAAGGUAUAAAUAUCUGAACUUGGUGGUUACUUCCUUAGAACUCUUAGGUUGAGUUUUUGGAGCAUUUUGGUCUAAAGGAUGAAUCUUUAUUGUUCAAAUCUGAUUCCUAGGCUUGGAGUUGCCACUCUCAGUGCUAAAUGAGUCCGCAAGGCAGAAAGUUGUCACCUUGAGUGUCUUAAUGAGUUCAUGCAUGAGAUCUAGCCAAUUCCAUGGAAGUUUGUUGCUAUAUUCCAAUUUUGGGUUUAUUUUGUGGGUUGCAAGCCACCAAGUAAUCGACUUUAUGGAUUAAGACGUUGAAAAGGACUUGGAUCUGUGCUUGUAGCUUAUGGAUUAGAGUAUUAAGCACUUAAUGGGAAAAGUGGCUUAACAGGGAAGUAUGUUGGGCAAUCAUGUAGGUACGCGCAUCGUACACAUCAUUCAGCCAAUACGCUUAGCAUAUACAGGAGUACGCUCUGCGUACUCAUCAGACAUGGGCUUGACGUGUUUUGGGCCAUGCUUUGGACUUCAGGUCUUUGGGCCUCAGUGGGUCAUCUUAAGUCAGAUAAUUUAGGCCAAGGAAAUGCUUGGGCUUAGGGAAAGGCUCAUUAAAGGGAUUGGGCUUAAUUUCGCAAAUUGGGCCAUUAUUGGGCUUGGGAAGCCUACCUAGUGUUGAGCCUUUUUGUAUUAUGGUUUUGGGCCUUAGAUUUGGAACAAGUUGGACUAGGAGUAAAAUAGCCAUUUUAACACAAAGAGGAUUAUUGUUUCAGACUAAUUGUUCUUUUGGGUAAUGGUAGCUUGGGGAGUCGAGAGAUCAGCAGUUCGGGGAUCUACCAACUAGCAGCGAGACGUUUAUUCGCAGGAUUCUACAGUCAGCUUGUGAGGUGAGUUUUCUCCUGUAGGAACGGGUCUAAGGCACCAAUGCUAACCCGUUUAUGUAUGUUAGUGUAUACCAGAUUUAGAUCCGAUGUUGGGGUUAGCCCGAUGUAGUUUUUAUGCUUCCGGAUUACGGUCCGAUGCCAGGCGGGGACCUAGGAAGGUUUACAUGUAUCUUUCGAACUAUGAUUCGAUGCCGGGUGAUGCUCGAGGAAGGGAUGCAUGUUUAGUUAUACUUGUUGUCUUUGUGAUACUUGUAUGUGCUUGGUAGGGAGAUGAGUGUGGGCGAGGGCCCAUAUCUCAUCACUAGCUGAGUAUGGACGGGGUUCCAUAUCUCAUUAGUAUUAGAGUAGGGGCGGGCACCAAGAUAGGCGGGGCCUUGAGAUUAGCAGUUAUAGUGUUGUGUUGCUUGUUAUGUACUAGGUUGAUUAUGAUUAUAUGUUUGCAUGUGUAUAGCGGGCGGGGCCCACAGACAGGCGGGGACUGGGAGAAACAUAUCUGUAUACCGAGCGGGGCUCGAUGCCAGGCAGGGUCUGUUGCUGGAUUAGUCCGAUGUCAGGUGAGGCCUAAGGUAGAGGUCUAGUCCCAAUGUUUGAAGUAUAUGAUUAUGUUCAUGGUAUGUGGUAGAUUGGGGAGACUCACUAAGCUUCGUACUUAUGGUUUUCAGUUUUGGUUUCAGGUACUUUCAGUUGCAAAGAGAAGAGCUUAGGAUGACUGCAUUGCACACACUAAGGACUUG